rnacentral:lncRNA from 1 species
CAACAACAAACGGUCAAGUCUCUUUAGUGAUGUGUCUUCAGUUUUAACAAGAGAUGAAGGUUGUGAAGAACUUCAAAAACACAAAAACAUUCACUAAUAACUACAAAAACAACACUCCUUUCAAAAACAACAACCACACACAUGGCCAAGUCAAGUUUUUCAGCAAUAAUAUCUACCACACGAUCUUACUUGUUCACGACAACAACAACAAAGCUCAAACUUAGAUAUGGACUCAAGUGUUAGUAAAGAACAAAGCUAACACCAGAAACACUCAAGACAAACAAAAAUCUCGGCCAAGACACAACAAGAACGCAAUUCUUGACCAAGAACACAACACGGACAGAUUGCACUUGUUUAUAUUUUUCAGCUUUUCAAUAAUUUUUUUCUUUGAAUUUUCUAAUCAAGCAAGCCCAAGAUUGAUCUUGUAGGAACAAGAUCUAGCUAUGCUCUGAUACCAAAUAAUACAAGAAGAAACAAUAGAAACACAAAAUAAACACCAAAUCAGUCCACAAGUUUGAAGAACCGAGGACCCCUUUGGUGACCACUCUCAGAUUCACUACAACAACAAUGAAAACACAAUAACAACAAGAUAUUGAAGGUGUAAAACAAGAUUACAAUAAAAAUAAAGGGAUAGUUAGAUAGACUUAAUGAAGGUAUAAUCUUAAGAACCCAAGAGCAUAUUCCACUCUUGGACCCUUAACACUACACACAACAUUCACCUAUCUCUUACGAAGACACAAGGUCAAAAUCUACCUCCCAAGCAUCACGUUUCCAAGCCAUGAGAUCAACAAGAGUGAUUCCACACUCUCUAUGCCUAAUUUUAGUUUUGGUGCCUCAAGAAGAGAGGGCUUGUGUUUCUUUGUGUUUCAAGACUUAAACAUCAUGAAUAAUCUAAGUCUAAAAGCCCUACAAUGUUCUAUUUAUACUAGGUUACAAAUAAAAUUCAAAAUGUCCAAAAUGCCCUUUUAAGUGCUAGGCUCCCUUCAAGUGUAUUUAGGGGCUGCCUUGUUGUGUUCCAAGUCUCCUCUUUACACUCCAAGUGUGAGAUUAGACUCAGUUUGGUGUGUUUUAAGUCCUUCACUCGCACACUCCAAGCCCCCGGUUCAUUACAUUCUCACAUGCGUUCAUCUUCGUGGUCGUACUUGUAUCAAAACUGUUGUUGAGAAUGAAACAAUUGUAUUUUCCAGUUUGCUCGGAAUAUCUUCAUUUUUUCUACUGUAACAUUUUCUAUUAUCGCCACACUCGACCACUAAAAUUUCUUAAAGGAGAAGUAAGUUCAGAAGAACACAAAAGAGAGACGAACAAGAAAACUUGAGGGGACGGUCUUAGCAACUACCACAUUUUCCUGAAAAUGGAUAAACCGAUGAAUUGAGAAGUGAACAGUUCUUGUGAAAGUGACAGAUGAUUUAGAGAAGUCUGCAAUGUAUGUGCGUACAUAUUUCCUUGUAUUUUAUGAAGGGCAAGGUAAGUACAGAAACAAAUAAAAUAAUGACAUUGUUCUCUGUCUUUACCUUAUGAGCUUAAUUUUGUAAUCUUAAUGGUCUAAAACGAUAUUGUUUUAACAUUUGUGUUUUACAAGGACUUAGUUUAGGUUAAACAAUGAUUUUUGUAAAAUCGGUUAAAAGUAUAGAGUAGCUAAUGAACAAGAAUGACCAAAAGAAGCAGCAGAAUGAGCUAUGAAGAUGCAGAAAAUGCAGGUGGCUCAUGGCUGUAUCAUUUCAUCACCCUAAGCGUAAAAAGUAAAGUGAAGAUCAAGAAGUUUUGGUAAAUUUGGUUCGAAAAAUUCACAAUGUAAGUCUCUAGACACAAAUGCUGCAUUCAUAGUAAUUACAAAACCUGAAGAGCGAUUUUUUUCUCUCUUUUAGUAAAUUUAAUACAACUAAGAAACAGAUAAUGAAAUAUACACAAGCUUAACAGAAUUUACAAAAAAAUUGAGAAGAAGAAAAGCUGCCUUAGCUUUUAAAAUCUAUCAACUACUUGCUAAAGUUGCCAUAUGUUGUGCAGUCGUGACUGAUGAAAAUGUUGGAACACGAAGAUGGAGAAGAGAAUUGGGAUGCUGCUAUUGACAAAGCCAUAUCUUUCCGGUUUUGCCUUUUGGGGAAUGAUAUAUUCCUACUGUGGACACAAGUGCUUGGAUUCUCCCCUUUCUUCUUGUGUAAUGCACAACUGCAGUUUUUAUGGUAAGGUCGUCUCUCGAUGUUCAUGUCUGACAUCGACAAGCUUCCAUCAAAGACACAGUGAAGCAUCAUUUCAGUGGCCAUUCUCUUCUAUCUCCUCUAUCCUGCUAUAAAACUUUUCUAAAUGUGCUUCAGAGUGUUCAAGAAUGUCUUAUCGUUCUUAAAAUUCUGUACAUCUGUUUAAGUUUUUAUAUAGAGAUAGUAAGCAUUGAUUUAUGACCUCAACUUAGGGAAUUUGGUAGAAUCAAGGGUGAAAAGGAUCUCUAGAAUUCACGAAGUUCUUGUGCAUGUUAUUACCUUACUAUCAAUGAAACUGGCGUUUUUUCCUAUGAUGUUUUCUUGUCUUGGCUGCAGUCUGUUCUAUAUGCGUAUUCAUGUGUGUUCGUCAAAUAUAAGAUACUUAUAUUCUUUUAUUUUCUUAUGCUUUGUGAUUGAUAUCUUUUAGGAGGAAAAAGAAUGUGUUAUUUAGUUACAAGUGUGUCAGUGAACGAAGUGUACUGACUAUUUGGUUCUUUAUUUUAAUUGCAUAUUUGUUUCUGGUUUGCUUAGUUUUCUAGGUUUGUACUUUGUACAUUGUGGUAUCUUGACUUACGUAUUCUUUUUUCUGGUGAAAUUUUCUAAUAUGCUCUUGUUCUUAUUACUUGGAUGUGUCAAUUAUCGAAUAAUCCAAUAGAAGUUUGGCCCAAGUUAUAGGAGACUCAGCAAUAGAGAUUUUUUUUGUCCUACUUGCAUCUGAAAAUGAUUCACUUAUUACCCUUGUUGACCUUGUUAGUUCCUUCCACUCAAUUAUUUGGGAUUUACUCUUCAAAGUAAUGUAAUAUGUACCAAUUUUCGUAUUGCAACAAAAAGAUUACUUAUCAGAGAAAAUUGAAGGAAAGGUGUCAUUUAAGUUUAGAAUGAAGGAUUGGUGAUAUUGACCAACUUAAAGGGUCAAACAUAAUUAAGAAACUUGAUUAGGUUAAUUGUGCACUUAAUUAAUAUUUUUUAAACUUUCUAAUCUUUUCAAAAAUAUAAAUCAACCCACACCCACAAAACUUCCCUCUCUCCGCAAAUCAAUCUCUUUUCUCUCUUUCUCUCGAUAGUUUCGCUCUAACUUCUCUCAACCAACAACUUUCCAAAUUUCUCCCUUCAAUCUUGUGCAACUUCAACCUCUGGCAACAAAUAUUUUUGAGUUCUUGCCUGUUCCAUUUUGACUUUCAACCGUCCGUCGACGUGACAACAUUCUCCCGCGACAACAACUUCGAGCUUUUCACUGUUUCUUUUUUAUUUUCUCAGAUAAAAAAUUAGAGCUUUUUAGUUAUGACGAAAACGAGGAACUUGAGUUAACUUCUCUUCUAGUAUGAGUUAACAAUUUCAAUAUUUGUUGCUUAAAUUUACAAUGGGGACUCACGAAUACCCUAAUAAGUAAAAUUAUAAUUUUUAGUUGAAUUUCUCAUCUGGGUGUAUCUGCUACUGCUGUUUUUUCAAUAAUGGAUAAAACAUGUAACGUGAAUCCAACAUAUGAGUAAUCUGUUGCAACAUAUUUAACUAAUCUGUUGUGACAGAUGAGUAAUAUUUUGCAACAUAUAUAACUAAUCUGUUGCAACAGAUGAGUAAUCUGUUGCAACAUAUAUGACUAAUCUGUUGUAAUAAAUGAGUAAUCUGUUGCAACAUAUAUGACUAAUCUGUUGUAAUAAAUGAGUAAUCUGUUGCAACAUAUAUGACUAAUCUAUUGCAAUAAAUGAGUAAUUUGGUGCAACAGAUGAGUCAUUUGUUGCAACAUAUAUGACUAAUUUGUUGCAACAUAUGAGUCAUAUGUUGCAACGAAACUCUUUGUUAAAUAGAUCUUUUAAGUCUAUUUUUAAUUAAAUGGACCAUAAGUUUUUUUAAUUUAGUGAGAUAACCCAUUUUUAAAAUAGAUUUAUUAUCUGUCCGACAUAUAUAUAGGCAAAUUGAUUAUCAAUCUGAUAGAUCUAUUAUCUAUCCGACAGAUAUAUAGACAGAUCAAUUAUCAAUUCGACAAAUCUAUUAUCUGUCCGACAAAUGAGAAAAUAAAAGUAGACCAUUUUUCUAAUUGAAAACUUGAAGAGGUUUGGACAUUUUGCUAAUUAGAAACUUAAAGAAGCUUAAUAUCCAAAUUUUCUCUGUUGCAACAACAUGUGGGUAAUCUGUUGCAACAGAUGCGUCAUAUGUUGCAACAAAUUACUCAUCUGUUGUAAUAGAUUAGUCAUCUGUUGGAUUCGUAUUAUCAUGUUGUAACAUGAAUCCAACAUAUAGGUCAUCUCUUGCAACAGAUUAGUCAUAUGUUACAAUAGAUUACUCACUUAUUGCAAUAAAUGACUCAUAUGUUGGAUUCAUAUUGCAGGUUCUAUCCAUUGUAGCAGUAGCCGAUAUACCAAGUAAGAAAUUCAACAAAAAUCAUAAUUUUACUUUCAAAAUCACCUAUGAAGUAACGUCCAAGAGAUAUACGAACAAAAUUUGAGCUAAAAAAAAUUUAAAAAUUUCAACAGAAGCACAACGAAUAAGUAAAGUACAUGAAAAAUUUCAUGAAACGGGUAAAGAAGACAAAAUAGUAUAUCAUACAUCAAAUGAAAAAGGAUCAAAGGGAAAAACGUUUGAGUUCUCCUAAAAACGUUUAAGUUUCCUAGUAUUUUAAUUGUUUUUAAAUAGAUGACCCAUCUGUUACAAUAGAUUUUCUAUCUGUUUGAUAAUUUUCAACAGAUGAAUCAUCUGAUGCAACAUGUUAGUCAUCUGCUGAAAAAAAUUAAGCAAUCAUUAGUAAUAACUAAAUUAAUUUAGCUAAAAUUAAAGAUGUCUUUAAUACAAUGGGACAAACAUUUGAGUUCUCCUAAAUAUGUUUGAGUUUCCUAGUAUUUUAAUUAUUUUCCAACAGAUGACCUAUUUAUUACAACAAGUUAGUCAUCUGUUGCAACAGAUGUUUAUAACAGGUUAGUCAUUUGUCAAAUUAAGCAAUUAUUAAUAAUAACUAAAUUUAUUUAAUUAAAAUUGAAGACAAGUAUAGACAUCUGCUGCAACAGAUGACUAAGUUGUUGCAACAUAUGACUCAUCUGUUGAAAUCAUCAAACAGAUAGGAUAUAUGUUCGAAAAUAAUUUAAAAUACUAAAGCUCAGAUGUUUUUGAGAGAACUCAAAUGUCUGUCUCCUUGUCUAAAGUCCUGUCUUUAAUUUUAGUUAAAUCAAUUUCAUUAUUACUAAUAAUUUCUUAAUUUGAAUUAUUUCAAAUAAAAUUGAUCAAUUGAUCAUUAUUCAGGACGAAUACACUUAGUUGAUAAUGUAAUUACUAUGAAAUUAGUUGAAAUUAUAAGUGGUCUUAUCAAUUCAUCUUUAAUUUAAUUAAAAUCAAUUUAGUUAUUACUAAUAAUGACUUAAUUUGAAUUAUUUAAAAUAAAAUUGGUCGAUUGAUCACUUUUCUCGAGACAAAUAUACCUAGUUAAUCAUGUAAUUACUAUGAGAUUAAUUGAAAUUGUAAGUGAACUUAUUAAUUCAUCUUUAAUUUUAGUUAUAUCAAUUUAGUUAUUACGAAUAAUGGCUUAAUUUGAUUCAGUUCAAAUAAAAUUGGUCAAUUGAUCACUCAUUCAUGACUAAUACACUUAGUUGAUUAUUUAAUUACUAUGAGAUUAAUUGAAAUUGUAAGUUAAUCUUUAAUUUUAGUUAAAUCAAUUUAGUUAUUACUAAUAAUGACUUAAUUUAUAUCAUUUCAAAUAAAAUUGUUCAAUUGAUCACUUUACUCAGGACGAAUACACUUAGUUAAUCAUGUAAUUACUAUGAGAUUAAUUGAAAUUAUAAGUGAACUCAUCAAUUCUUAUUUAAUUUUAGUUAAAUCAACAUAUUUAUUACUAAUAGUGACUUAAUUUGAAUCAUAUCAAAUAAAAUUGGUCAAUUAAUUAUUCUACUAAGGAUGAAACACCUAAUUGAUCAUGUAAUUACUAUGAGAUUAAUUGAAAUCGUAAUUGAACUUACUAAUUCAUCUUUAAUUUUAGUUAAAUUAAUAUAGUUAUUUCUAAUAAUGGUUUAAUUUGAAUCAUUUCAAAUAAAACUGGUCAAUUAAUCAUUCUACUCAGUACGAAAUACUUAAUUGAUCAUGUAAUUACUAUGAGAUUAAUUGAAAUCGUAAUUGAACUUACUAAUUCAUCUUCAAUUUUAGUUAAAUCAAUAUAAUUAUUUCUAAUGAUGACUUAGUUUGAAUCAUUUUAAAUAAAAUUGUUCAAGUGAUCACUUUACUCAUGACGCACAUACUUAGCUGAUCGUGUAAUGGCCAUGAGAUUAAUUGAAACUAUAAUUGAACUUAUUAAUUCAUAUUUUAUUUUAGUAAUCAAUUUAAGUAUUACUAAUAAUGUCUUAAUUUGAAUCAAUAGAUGACUAAUAUGUUACAACAGAUGAGUAAUCUGUUGGAAAUGACUCAACAGAUAAAAACAUCUGUUGAAAAUGACCAAACAGAUAUAGACAUCUAUUGCAACAGAUGACUCACUUAUUGCAACAACUAACUUAUCUAUUGAAAAUUAUCUAAUAGAUAUAGACAUCUGUUGCAACAAAUGACUAAGUUGUUGCAACAUAUGACUCAUCUGUUGGAAAUUAUUAAAUAGACAAAACUUGUGUUGAAAAGCAAUUUAAAAUACUAAAGCUCAAAUAUUUUUUAGGAGAACUCAAAUGUUUGUCCCCUUGUCUAAGGUAUUGUCUUCAAUUAUGAUUAAAUCAAUUUAGUUAUUAUUAAUAGUUGUUUAAUUUGAAUCAACAAAUGACUAACCUGUUAUAAACAUUUGUUGCAACAAAGAGCUAACUUGUUGCAACAAAUAGGUCAUCUAUUAGAAAAUAAUUAAAAUACUAGGGAACUCAAACAUUUUUAGGAGAACUCAAAUUCUUGUCCCACUGUCUUAAAGACUUGUCUUUAAUUUUAGCUAAAUCAAUUUAGUUAUUAUUAAUAACUGCUUAAUUUGAAUCAACAGAUGGCUAACAUUCUGCUACAGAUGAUUCAUCUAUUGAAAAUUAUCAUACAGAUAGAAAAUCUGUUAUAACAGAUGGGUCAUCUAUUAGAAAGCAAUUAAAAUACUAGGGAACUUAAACGUUUUUAGGAGAACUCAAAUGUUUGUCUCCUUGAUCCUUUUGCAUUUGAUGUAUGAUAUACUAAUUUUGUCUUAUUUACCUGUUUCAUAAAAUUUUUCAUGUGUUAUACUUAUUCGUUGUGCCCCUAUUGAAAUUUUUAAAAAAUUUUCCGGUCAAAUUUUGUUCGUAUAUCACUUGGAUUACUUCAUAGGUGAUUUUGUAAGUAUAAUUAUGAUUAUUUUUGAAUUUUUUAUCCUGCUACUGCUACAAUAGAUAGAACCUACAACAUAAAUCCAACAUAUGAGUCAGUUGUUGCAACAAGUGAGUAAUUUGUUGCAAUAGAUGACCCAUAUAUUGGAAUCAUGUUACAACACUAUAAUAUGAAUCCAACAGAUGAGUAAUCUGUUGCAAUAAAUGACACAUCUGUUGCAACAGAUGAGUAAUAUGUUGCAACAUAUGACGUAUCUGUUACAACAAAUUAGUCAUAUAUAUUGCAACAAACAUUAGAUUAUUCAUAUAUGUUACAACAGAUUACUCAUCUAUUGCAACAGAUUACUCAUCUAUUGGAUUCACGUUACAUAUUUUAACCAUUGUUGAAAAAAUAAUAGUGGCAGAUACACCCAGAUGAGAAAUUCAACUAAAAAUUAUAAAUUUAUUUACUAAAAUCACCUAUGAAAUAAUGCCCAAGUGAUAUACGGAUAAAAUUUGACCUACAAAAAUUUGAUCAAGUAGCAAUUGUAGCAGUAACAACAACAAUGUUCAAGAACAAGAAGAUGAUGAUGAUGAACAAGAAGAGACGAUAGUGAAGACUAAGAUGAUGAUAAUGAAGAAAAAGAUGAUGAAUAAAGCAACAACAACAAUGAACAACAAAAAUCACGAACAGAAAGAAAACUCUAAUAAAUGAGAAAAGAGAGAAUCAUGCCUUUUUUCCUUCCAUUUCUUGUUAUAUUAGGUUUUACAUUGGAGCAAAGUGUAAAUUAAAAAAUUUGUGGGUUAUUUACAAACUUUUCUUACUUUCUUAAUCCUUAGUAAAAUAAUUGUCACCUACACUCAAUUAUUAAAACUUGAGUCACCUACACUUCAUUUUAUAACUCUUUUGUCACUUUUAGCUCAAAGCCCCUACUUACCACCCUAAGAUAAGUUUCAUAUUAUCAAUAAGAAUUUGAUCAAUCCUAUUUUCUAUUGUUAAGGUGGAGAAGAAAACCAAGAAUUCUCUUAAAAUGCAGGUGUCAGAACAGAAUGUGAGAGACUAUGAGAUGAGAUGCAAAAUAAUAAUGCAGUUGGCUCAUGGCGUUUUCAUUUCAUCACCCUAAAUAGAAAUUUUAAAAAAAAAAGUAGAAAAGAAACAGGAAAGUACGGUGAAGAUCAAGAUGUUACGGUAAAAUUUGGUUUGAAAAAUUUACGAUGUGAUAAGUCUAUAGACACAAAUGCUGCACUCUCAGUAUUUACAUAAAAGGAGAAAAAACGGUACCCCCACAGUACCGUUUUUCUUCUUUUUCUUUCUUUUUUUUUAUUGUAAAUUUAUAGCACCUAAGAAAUGGAUACUAAACUAUACACAAACUUGGGCAAGUAUGCCAAACAACUCUUUUUUCAAACUAUUUUGUCAAAUACCCAAAAGUUUUAAAACAUUGGUCAAAUACCCACACAAUUCAACCACACCAUCAACUUUUUCAACUUAACAAUUUCAAUCAAAAAUUUUAUAAUAAUUCACUUUAACUCAAUACUUCCAACUUAAUAAAUUCACCUAUAAGUUUCUAAUAAUACACUUCAAUCCACUCCAUCAUCCACCAUUAUAUAUACAAAAAUAUCUAGGUUUUCCAAAAAUAUUUAAAAAAAAUUCCAAAAGCUAAAAAUAAAAGGUGGUUAUUUUUCCCUUCAAAAAGCUCUGAUUCGGGCCACUUUUUCGGUGUUAUUUUUUGGCGAUUAGCCGCAAAUCAGUCCACAAAUAUCAUAAGCUUGUCCAUUGCAUCCAUUGUUACACCAUUUAUUUCUCAUUUUCUCAAACACACUUUCCACCAUUAUUAAAAAGCUUUAAAUCACUCACAUUACUCAAAACCACUUUAGAAAAUGCAUUACAGCAUCUCAGGCGACUCCAAGUUCAUUUCUCUAUUCCAUAAACCCAACAAUCAUUGAUUAGAAGUAAUAUUUGCAAUUUUAAGUUUUUGUACAGAUAUCUGCACAGCCAUCGACCCGUCAUCGUUAGUCAUAGACUGUGCAUACAACCCGACAUAGACCAUAAGCAUAAUCUACCUUCGGCCAAAGCUUAAUUCUAGAAUGUCUAUUGCAGAAUUUGUUCUAGUUUCUGGUGAUUUCAUGGGAGAAUGGAUGGAGACUCUCAAACGUUGGAAAUAGAGAUCAUUUACCAAGGUGAUAAUUUUUAUUUUGGUUUACCGCAAUAGUUCGUAUGAUGAAUUCGUUGCAAGUGUAAUGCAGAGUAGGGAUCUAGAAUGUGCACCGAGCGACGUGGUUAUUAGUUAUCUAAUGCUUUCGAGGGAUAAAUUGAAUCCUACAAUCAUAAAUAGCGAUGUACGUGUUCUAACGUACAUAAUAGAUGUCAAUGCAGAAGGCUUUAGGCCUAUUUUGAGGAUAAAUGUUGUUGAGAGGUCCUUUGAAGGACUGCUGAACUCAUCAGCACCCCUAUCGCGUCACCCGACAGUCGACGAUGAAACAUCACUCUUAGGUUAUUAAACAUUCAAUCACUACCCAUCCACACACUCCUUAAUUCACCUCCCCUAAUUUUUUUAAGCUCUAAUAUGAUUAUGUGACUUGUUUACACUCCUCUACAUGUGUAGAAAUCCACACUAUAUUUAUUUUUAAUUUAUUUAUUCAUUUUUUAACUACAGUAAAGUGAUGGUCUAUAACAGUGUACAUAGAUCACCGUGGUCUAUGCAUAAUCAUGAUAUCAAUCGAUGCACUACUAAUGGUGUAAGUCUACGGUAGACCAGACUAAUCGAUGGCUGACAUAGGUCAUGAUCUACGAUGGUCUAUCAAGUGUCACCAUCACUCCAAGAGUAUCUAUUUAAAUCUUUUUUAAUUAAAUUACUUUCUUCCACCAGCCCCAAAACAUGUCAUUAUCUAUUUAAAUCAUUUUUAAUUUAAUUAUUUUCUUCCACCAACCACAAAACAUAUGAUUAUCUAUUUAAAAAAUAUGUAAUUAUCUAUUUAAAUCAUUUUUAAUUUAAUUAUUUUCAAUAACAUGUCUAUCUAUAUAUCCUUUACUUUUAUUACAAUCUUGUUAGUGUUUGUAACUUGAACCAUUUAUUCUUGUUUCUAGUGAAUUUGUGACUUGUUGAUACGGGAAUAAUCAUGGAUAUGGGCUUAGGAGAGUGUGUGUUAGACCCAAGCCUUGGCAGGUGCAAUUGAAGUGUAAAAGAGGCCCAAAAUGCACUCAAAUCAGCCCAUCAAUUACACUAGAUGGGUGCCCACUCUUUGAUGGGCCUUUUGGUCAUUUUAACUUAUAUUUUGUUAUAGCUAUAAAAGGAACAUUGUAGGGUUUUUAUUUUAGUUUUUGGAUGAUAUUUGGGAGUAUUGUAAGACUUGUAACAAGCUCUCUCUCUAGUGAAAAGAGUGACCACCGAAACUAGGAUACAACAAUAGGGUGGAUUCUCUUUUGUUGUUGCUUGCUUGGAAACAUUGAUGCUAGAGAAGUGGAAUCCGAUCUUGUGUCAUGUAAGAGAUAGUUUUAUUGUUGUGUGUAGUGUUAAGGGUCCAAGAUUGUCCAUUCUUGGGUUCUUAAGAUUAUACUUUCAUGUGGUCUAUCUAUCUAUCAUUUUACCUUAUUGUAAUCUUGUUUAGUGUUUGUGUUGUAAUCUUGUGUUCCUGUUGUAAUUGUUAAAUCCGAAUCUUGUGUCUUCUUGUUCAUCAUCUUAUGUUGUUAAUCUAGUUUUUUGUCCGCUGAUUUGAUGUAAUAAACACCUUGUUAUCUUCUUGUUAUUGUGUUCUUAGGAAGCCGAGAGUUGGAUCCAAAAGGGUUCAGGGAUUUCUUCCAUUUUGUGGACUAUUUUUGGACUAAUUUGGUGUUCCCUUGUUUGUCCCGUAUCAUUUGGUAUCAAAUCCAUCUUUGGUUUUGUUCCUACAAUACCAAUCUUGGGCUUUCUUGCUAAGAAAAUAAAAAAAUAAAGAAAGGAAAGAAAGACGUGUUCUUGAGCUUGAGAUCUUGGCCAAGAAGUUGAACUUGUUAUUGUUGUAUCUUGGAUGAAUGUUGUGUGUCUAGGUAUAGGAUUUAUUUUUCUUGUAUUUUUGUUUCAAGUGUUAGUAUUCUUGUCCAUUAACACUUUGAGUCGAUCUAGAUUUGAGCUUUAAAAAAAUUGAUGUUGUUGUUGUGAACAAGACCAUGGCCGUGUGUUGAAGUUGUUGUUUUUGGACGUAUGGACUUGUUGUUAUAGUCUUGGUUGAAUGUUGUUGGUGUUUUUGUUGCUCUUGAUAAAGUUGUUGUUGAGUUCUUUACAUUCAUCACAACCUUCACCUUUGCUAAAACCGAAAUACAACACCAAAAAGAACCUUGGCCAUGUGUUGACACUAAAAUUGGCCUUGAUGUGUGUUGAUGUUUGUUGUGGGAUGGAAAUUGUUGUUUUGCUGUUGAUGUGUUCUUGAAUUUUGUUGUGGUGUUCAUCUUGUUCUUCAUCUCACCUUACAACUUAAGACAACCAAAGUGUAACAUAGAUUCAAAAAGGUGAACCUACAAGUUGUAAAGUUGUUUGUGAGAGGACUUGAUCCACAUUUUCUUGACUUAACAUCUACUUUUCAACCACUUUUCUUGUUUCAAGGGACCUUGUUUUAUGGGAAUUGUACAAAGUCAAGUCUUACCUUUUGAAUAUUACACUUAAAAUAGAUUUAAGACAUAUACUUUCCCUCCAAAACCAAUUGUUUCCAUUACAUAGUAACUAAAGUUUGUAAACUUCAACUAGUGAUUAAUUGUGGGGCCGUGACCAAUGGUAUGCUGCUAUGUCACCCAAGUUACUGUUCACACGAAAAUUUUAAGAUCAAAAUUUGAUCUUCUAGUUUCAUUGUGUUGUUUCUUUAGUUUUGUUUGUUGAUUCCAUUACUAACUUACAAGCUAGUUUUAGAUUGUAAGUUAGUUUUGAAACCAUCCUUCAUGUAUACGUUCCUUUGUGUGUCUUAUAUUUUUGAGUCAUUGUAAUACUUGGUCCACCUCUCACUGCCUCAUGGAGUACAAGCAAUGUUACGACACUUGUGAGAUCAAAGUGAGAAAAAAAAAAUUCGAGAGCCAAAACAAUAGAGAGGAAGUGUGAGGACCAUUCUUGUACAACUAACUUGUUUGUUGUUUUGUAGGUAACUUCUUGGCCAUAAUGGAAACCAUUUUGUCCCUCCUUGAUGGUUUGUCCAUGGACCUUGCUAGGUCAAGUGCGGGUCUUAAAAAAUUGACUCGGAUAUGGUAACUAUGCAUGAGAGAUUGGAUCGAAUGGAGAGUCGAAGGAACUCUCAUGCUUUUACUCCCGAAACUUUACUUCUAAUGACCAAUCCUCUAAGACAACCACAUAAUACCACAAGCCAAGCUCCAAAUAGCCCUCAAAAUUGAGCACAAGAUAGACCACUUCCCCCACAAGUUGAUCAAGUCCAACAAGGAGGACUUGGAACCCAAUUUCCUCCCAUCCAAGCUCCACAUUACCAAAUUGAGCCUCUCAACCAAAACUUCCCUUUCCAAAAAUCAACACAUCCAAGAAGAGGAACAUGAUAGAGAGAGACAUGAAGGAUAUGGAGUCUACGGCAAUGCUUAUAUGAUAGAAGGAGACUUGAGUCGAAUGAGAUUAAAGGCCAAUCUCAAGAGGGAGAGGAAGUCAAGGGUCAAAAUGAAGAUGUUGGAUUCGAGACUUAUUGUCAUUAUGCUCUCAGGUUUGGCUAUCUUGUGGAUUGUUAUUAUGCAUUUCUUGUGGGCAGUUUUUAGCUCAUUUUUUGAUACGUCCCUUGUUAUUAUUGAGCUCUCGGGCCCUUCAUGUUUUGCGGACUAUUUUUGAGUAGGUUUCCUUUGAAGUGACCAAUUGAAUGAGGUGAAGCCAUGAAUUUAUGGAUAAAUUCCUCUCAAGAUGGAGAGGAUGAUACGGGAAUAAUCACGAAUAUGGACUUAAGAGAGUAUGUGUUGGACCCGAGCCUUGGCAGGUGCAAUUGAAGUGUAAAAGAGGCCUAAAAUGCACCCAAAUCAGCCAAUAGAUUACACUAGAUGAGUGCCCACUCUUUGAAGGGCCUUUUGGUCAUUUUAACUUAUAUUUUAUUAUAGCUAUAAAAGGAACAUUGUAGGGUUUUUAGUUUAGUUUUUGGAUGAUAUUUGGGAGUCUUGUAAAACUUGUAACAAGCUCUCUCUAGUGAGAAGAGUGACCACCGAAACUAGGAUACAACAAUAGGGUAGAUUCUCUUUUGUUGUUUCUUUCUUGGAAACAUUGAUGCUAGAGAGGUGGAAUCUAAUCUUGUGUUACGUAAGACAUAGAUUUAUUGUUGUGUGUAGUGUUAAGGGUCCAAGGGUGUCCAUUCUUGGAUUCUUAAGAUUAUACCUUCAUGUGGUCUAUCUAUCUAUCAUUUUACCUUCUUGUAAUCUUAUUUAGUGUUUGUGUUGUAAUCUUGUGUUCCUGUUGUUAUUGUUAAAUCCGAAUCUUGUGUCUUCUUAUUCAUCAUCUUAUGUUGUUAAUCUAGUUUGUUGUUCGCUGAUUUGGUGUAAUAAACACAUUGUUAUCUUCUUGUUAUUGUGUUCUUAGGAAGCCAAGACUUGGUCUCAAAAAGGGUUCACGUAUUUCUUCCAUUUUGUGGACUGUUUUUUGGACUAAUUUUGGUGUUCCCUUGUUUGUCCCGUAUCAUUAUGGAAAUUCGUGAACCCUUUGGAGACCAAGUCUCGGUUUCCUAAGAACACAAUAACAAGAAGAUAACAAGGUGUUUAUUACACCAAAUCAGCGGACAACAAACUAGAUUAACAACAUAAGAUGAUGAAUAAAAAGACACAAGAUUCGGAUUUAACGAUAACAACAGGAACACAAGAUUACAACACAAACACUAAACAAGAUUACAAGAAGGUAAAAUGAUAGAUAGAUAGACCACAUGAAGGUAUAAUCUUAAGCAACCCAAGAAUGGACACUCUUGGACCCUUAACACUACACACAACAAUAAAUCUAUCUAUUACGUGACACAAGAUCGGAUUCCACCUCCCUAGCUUCAACGUUUUCAAGCAAGCAACAACAAAAGAGAAUCCACCCUAUUGUUGUAUCCUAGUUUCGGUGGUCACUCUUCUCACUAGAGAGAGAGCUUGUUACAAGUCUUACAAGACUCCCAAAUAUCAUCCAAAAACUAAACUAAAAACCCUACAAUGUUCCUUUUAUAGCUAUAACAAAAUAUAAGUUAAAAUGACCGAAAGGCCCAUCAAAGAGUGGGCACCCAUCUAGUGUAAUUUAUGGGCUGAUUUGAGUGCAUUUUGGGCCUCUUUUACACUUCAAUUGCACCUGCCAAGGCUCGGGUUCAACACGCACUCUCCUAAGUCCAUAUCCGUGAUUAUUCCUGUAUCACUUGUGGUUCAUUUAUUGUUGUUAAUCUAGUUUUUUUGGUGGCUGAUUUGGUGUCCAAACACCUUGUUAUUCUUCUCAUAUUGUUGUUUUUGUUGUUGUUGUUGAAGCCGAGACUUGUUCUCAAAAGGGCUCUCGGUUUUGGGUCAAUUUGUGGACUGUUUGUGCGUUUCUUGCAUUCCCAUGGUUUUUCUUGUAUCAAACUUAAAUCCAUUAUUCCAAAAGCCAUUUAUGUCAAGCUUUCAACAUAGGUAACGUUGGGAUCAAAUGUAAAUUCCGUCUCUCUCGAGAGACGAGAAUGUCUCUCAUGUUAUCAAUUUUAGGAUUGUAUACAGUAACUUUUUUUGUCAUAAUUGUCAGUCUUUGUCACCGACAAGCGCGCUGCAAAUUCGUAAGGACUUGUUUCUAAAUUCCUCAUGUAAAAUAAGGCUUUACUCCGUAUUCCUUCAUGACCAAUAUUUCAACACCAACCUUAUCUCAAACUACUUUGAUUGGGGAAGGUAAGUUGUGCAAUCUCUGCUAUCAGUAUGAUGUCUGUACUGUUAUAAUGUUUUAAAACCUCCAAGGGAAGUGGAAAAAUGCUUAAACAAAUCCUGAAGAGCAAAAAUUGCAGCAUUUAUCUGCCGCACCAAAAUGUUGUCACACACUUCGCGGAGAUUCACUCUGUAAAAUGUCGCAACUCCUUACUGCAGUGCAACCAAAUGGAAUAUGCAUUCCGAUUUCAUUAUGUUCAAGAAAAUAUGCAACCAAAGAGAAUCAUGAAAGUUUCUUCGCUAUUACUUCUUUUUUGGGGUGGUCGUUUCCCAUUAUCUUGCGCCGCUCCUCACUCUAGUAAUAAUUUCCUCUGGUGAGAUCAAGCUUUCCAGAUAGGUAACCAUGGCGCCAUGUGUAAAUUCCAUACACUUCAGGACAUGAAUAUCUCUCAUAUCAUCAGUCUUUGGAUUGUAGACAACAACUUUUUCGUCAUAACGAUCUAUUAUCAAAGUUACUCCUCCACUCUCUCAUAAAAAAGGGCACUGCACAUCCAUUAGAAGAAAUUAUUUCUAAAUUCCUUAUGAAAAAUAAGGAUGUCCAUGAUUCCCUUACCCCAUAUUCCUUCAUGACCAAUAUCUCGACACCACUCUUAGCCUCAUCCAAGCGAGUCACAAGGACAUUCAUUUAGAACUCCUAAACCAACUAUAACGUUCUCUUCUUGAUUAGAUUUAGGCUCAGGGAUCGGAAACAUAUGGAACUUUUCAGAGAUCGGAUCAAAAUUAAUUAGUUUGCUAUUAUUCUUGCCCUUUAACCAUAAGUGAAUUCGUCCAUGCAGUGUAAUGUUAAUAUCAUAACUCAGUGAGCGGAUAUUGUAAGGGAAUUCAACUGGCCUCCAUUGUUUGUCGUCAAGAUUAGCAUCCAUAACAAACUCAUCCACAAAUGGGGUUCGAUCAGACACAAACAGCACAGCCUUGUAAGCAUUCUUGUACGAGUAGUAACAAAGUCCCCCAUGUGUAUAAUAACCACGUUCCAUGUAGUCAAACUUGAGCACCUUGGCGCGAGAUCGAGUGGCAAGAUUCAACAAGUAAAUCUCCUCAUGUAGACCAACCAAUAUAAGACCAUGACAAGAACCCAAAAGUAAAAAACGAUGAUUAUAACUUGUAGGAUAAUUGAGCGCUUCCGAAAUGAGUUGUUGGUUUACGAAACGGAAGGAAGGUCUCUAUAUUGUGGGUGUUGUUGUUGUAUAUGUAUACACCAUGGCGAGAACUACUCGUUGUCGUUGAUUGGAGAGCUUCAAUAUUGGACAUGAGAUCCAAGAACACCAUGACUUAUAUACACACAUGAAUCGUUGUCACACCCUUUUUUCGCCCGAAGGGUCGAGUGAAGGAUUUUUCCAAUUAAAGUGACGGUUUUGAAUAGGGAUUAAUUUAUUUCCAGAGUGGCCACUUGGAAUUGAGUUAUGGUGUUCCAAGUCACCUUUUUGAAUCUCUAGUCAAAAGGAAAUGACUCUUUGUUGGCUGCGAAAACAGAAGACCGGGUAAGGAAUUCUGUUGACCGAAGGGAAGGUGUGAGGCAACCCUCGAGUCCCGUGGUUCUAGCACGGUCACUUUCAUUGACUUAUCUUGACUUAAAUUAUUUUUUAUAAAUUAUGUUUAUAAGCCUUAGUUUGCUCACUUUUGAUAUCUACAAUUAUUUAUAAAUAUCUUAUAUUAAAUAAAUUGGUGAAAGUUAAUUUUAGAAAAAUAUUUGUCAAGGUGCAUUAUUGCACCCUUGACUUUUAAAAUGUCUCGAAAAGAUGUGUACGCCGCAUUUUAAUCGAGAGGAAAAUAUAGUAAACGUGUUAAAAUUUAUCUUUCAUUCAUUAUUUGUAAAUUUGUAACAAUUUUAUCUAUUCAAAAAAAAACUAUUUAUUCUUAAUGAUAAACUAAGCAGUUUCUUACCCACAGAGAUAAGUUAAUUUAAUAAACAAUUAUCAAUUAUUAUUAAUAAAUAUAAAAUAUAUAUAUAUAUAUAUAUAUAAUAAAAAUAAAACUAAAAUGACAUAUAAUAAAUAAAUAAAUAAAUAAAGUAAUAAUAAUAAAAAUAAUACAAAUAUCCAAAAGAAAACUAACUGUAUUAUACUGACUUUAUCAUGAUCCUCCAAAUUCUAAUUUACUGUAGCAAGUUAAAAAAGUUUCGGAUCUUUCAAUUAAAUAAAUAAUAAUUCUUAUUUUCUAAUGAUGGUAAAAAUCAUUGAUUUUUUUUUUUUCCAAACAAUUAGUUGACUAAAAAGGAAAUUGAAGACUUUAAUAAAAGGCAACUUUUAUUAUUUUUUAAAGAAGAAAAAAAAGGAUGCAUAAUAAGACAGGAUGUGUUGAUUUUCACUGAUACACUGCCAUAAAUCACUGCAUCGAUAUCGGCGUUGGUGGUGAUUGCACAUGAUCGAUGCGACAGAUCUAAAAGAGAUAUGGACGGAUUCGCGGGUUGAAGCUGAUAGGCUAUUUUUCGGCGGGAUGGUAUGGUUGAGGGUCACUGGAGUUGUUAAUUUGGGAUGCUGGCCGUCCGGUAAUUAGAUCCGGAGGCAGCAUCGAAAAGAGAGAAGGGCGUCGCAGCAGCGCCGUGGUUUGGCCAGCGAACAGCGGGGCCAGAUCUGGGGAGGGGAGUGACGGCGCGGGGCCAACGAAGUUUUUUCGGCAAGUUGGUUAGCUGGAACCAACCAUAAGGGUCGAAUUUUGACAAAAGUAGAAUGGAUUCAGCAAUGGUGAAUUUUUCGAUGGAUUUUCGGUGAGAAUUUGCCGGAAAAUUGAAAGAAAGAUUGACAAUGUUACUUUUAUCCUUCAAAUUUAAUUUUUCAUCUCCCUCUCGUUUCUCUUUUCAGUGAUUUUUCUCCGUUCCCUACUAUUCUAUCUUUAUUGAUUUUUUAUUCCAAAUCCUUUUUUUAUAUGCAUGUAUUUCAUUUUCAUGUGCGUGUAUUGCUAUAUCUGUGAGUGGUGUGUGCAGUAUUUGGUGUCAAACACACAAAUAUACAAAUAUAUAGUAUUUUAAUAGCAUAACAAGUGCAACAAAAUUUUACGUAAUUGAUAAUUUCACAUAUUAAAUAAGGCAACAACAUCACUUAAGCAUUUUUCAUUCAUGCUUUUUGCAAGAACAUCCAUAAAAAACAUUACAUAAUUAAAUAAGAAACAAGAACCUGUUGAUGUAUUAAAACAAUUCGAACACCAUAACCGAAAACUUUGAGAAGAAUUCCAACUUCAACUUUUCUUCUCUUUUUUUUCUCUUUACCUAAUGUUUUUCUUCUGAUGAUUUCAAAUGUUUCACUCACUCAAUUUUCUUACUCUGACUGGUUUUUCUUUUCUUAGUGUCUAGUUUGUAGAAUGAUGUACGUAGUUUUCUCAAAAAAAAAAAUUUUACUGUCAAAGUGUCUGAUAGUAAAUGUACGUUAUCCUUUCCUUGUGUUGAAGAGUCUUUUAUAUAAGGAAUUCUUUGGGGGAACAGUUGGAAGUCAGAUAAGGGAGGAAGGUUGGGUAGUUUAGGAUAAGAAGAAAGUUUUCAAAUUUUAAAUCUUUUUUUCUUUUUUUUUUAGGAUAAUGAUCUCCCUUUUAUUUUAAUAAAUAAAUAAAUUAUAUAUAAAAUAAAUAAUAAUAAUAAUAAUAAAAGAAUAUUAACUAAUCAUUUCUUUAUACUUAAGAAAAAUAUAAUAAAAAUAUAAUUAACUUAAAAACAAAAUAUAAUUGAGAGAAAAUAAAAUUACUAGCUUAUUUAUAAAAAUCUAAAUUAAAAGAAAAUAUUUUUUGAAAAGUUUUUCGUAUUAUUUCAAAAGAAUUUAAACAAAAUAUCUCAAAAUUAACUUUAUUUAGUUAUUUACUUUUUUAACGAAAAAUUUAUUAAAAUAAAAUAAGAGUUUAAAUAAUAUUAUACCAAAUAUAAAUAUUUAAUACCGAAAAAUAUAUAUAUUAAAUUCGGGAGGAUCAAAAAUUACGUGUCUACAUUUUAUCCCUCUUUGUGUGAAAUCUCGCAGAGUUUUCAUACAAAGAAAUAGACAAGAUAUGAUUUUUGACCCUCCAAUUAUUUGAAAGUUAAGGAUAAAAAUAAAAAUAAAAGGAAAAAUGUGACCGAGUCCUGAUUUUGGAUCUCUUACCUAUCUCGGACUAUAAGGGAAUCAGGUCACGAUAAGUUCAAAUGUAACAUGGUGAGAGAAAAAGUUAAAGUCGAGUGAGAUUCCGUCGAGUUUUCGGUUGACGACUUCUGCCUUUUACAUUCAAAUGACUAACAAAAAAUGAAAAAUACAAAUGAAAAUUGUAAUCUCUAGAAUCUUGAUUCUACUCUUCGCGACUUGAUUAUGAAAAUUCACUCUAUUCUUUAAGCGGGCUCCUGACUUGUUAUUUCUUCACCCUGUUCUUCAGGCAGGCUCCAAUGCCGCUUGAAUUACCAAAAUAAGGAAGUACGUCUCAAUGUCACUUGAAUUACCAAACCAAGGAAGUGCGUCUCCUUACCAAUGUCGCUUGAAUUACCAAAAUAAGAAAGUGUGUUUCCUUAUCGAUGUCGCUUGAAUUACCCAAAUAAGAAAGUGCGUCUCCUUACAAAUACCUCUUGAAUUACUCAAAACAAGAAAAUGCGUCUCCUAAUAAAUGUUUUUUUAAUUACCCAAAUAAGGAAGUGCGCCUCCUUACAAAUGUUGCUUGAAUCAUCCAAUUAAGGAAGUGCGCCUCCUUACAAUUGUCGCUUGAAUUACCCAAACAAGAAAGUGUAUCUCCUUACCAAUGCCGCUUGAAUUACCCAUUAGGAAGUGCGUCUCCUUACAAAUGUCGCUUGAAUUACCCAAAUCAGGAAGUAUGUCUCCUUACAAAUGUUGCUUGAAUUGUCCAAACAAAUAAGUGUGUCUCCUUACAAAUGUCGCUUGAAUUAUCAAACAAGGAAAUGCGUCUCCCCACAAAUGCUGCUUGAAUUACCAAACAAGGAAGUGUAUCUCCUUACAAAUGUUGCUUGAAUUACCAAACAAGGAAGUAGUCUCCUUAUAAAUGUUGCUUUGAGAAAUUACGACCUUUGAUGUUUAGAUUUUGAAAUCAUUGAUUUGAAGGUAACAUGUGUUCCUGAAUAAUGAAACAUGAUAGACGUCAUCGAAAACUCGAAUAGAAAUUUACUUCAACUCUCGAUUUACAACUCUUUCUUUUCUUCAACUUGUUCUUCAGGCAAUCUCCUGGAUUUUCUUUUAUGAUUUUUCAAAAUAUGUUCCUGAACUCAAAAUAAAAGGUGAAACAGAAAAAUAACAUCUCAUUUAUCAAAAGGGUCCUGGACAUAAAAUAAAUUCACAUUCUUUAGGGGGAUCCUGAUCAUAAAAAAUAAAUUCUCAUUCUUCAGGAGGGUCCUGUCCCAUUUUUUAGGAGAGUCCUGAGCAGAAAGUAAAAUUCAAUAAUUACGAACAAAAUUUUUCCCCCAAGUUGUACUAGAAAAUUUUGUGAGCAUCAUCAGAUUACAGUUUUUGAAAAGUACAGAAAAAGUGUGAAUCAAAGCCCUGCUAAAGAAAUGCGUCUCGUCAGAGUAAAACUGAUGACCAAAAUUAGAAAGUACGUCUCCUAAGAGUUAAAUUAAAGGACUCGACUAGAAAGUGUGUCUUCUAGGAGUGAAUGUUCAAGUUAGGAAGUGUUUCACCUAACAAAUGAAAACUGACUUAUUCAGACUAGGAAGUGCGUCUCCUAGGGGUUAAAUGAAAUGACUAGACUAGAAAGUGCGUCUUCUAGGAGUGAAUGUUCAAGUUAGGAUGUGUUUCACCUAACAAAUGAAAACUGACUUAUUCAGACUAAGAAGUGUGUCUCCUAGGGAUUAAAUGAAAUGACUCAACUAGAAAGUGCGCCUUCUCAGAAUGAUGGUUCAAGUUAGGAAGUAUUUCACCUAACAAAUGAAAACUAACUUAUUCAGACUAGGAAGUGCGUCUUUUAGGAGUGAAUGGUUCGAGUUAGGAAGUGCAUCACCUAACAAAUGAGACUUGAAUUAUCCAGAUUAGGAAGUACGUCUCCUAGGGGUUGAAUUUUUACCAUAAUUUGAUUAUCAAACCUGUGCGACAACAUUGCUUCCUGCAUUUGUGAAAAUGAGUUUUUGCAACCAUUGAUAUUUAUUCUCUGAAGUUCUUCAUUUGAAAGUAACAUGUUUCCUGUUUCAUCAAAGAAAAUUUUGUGAGUUCAAAAAUAUGGUGGCAGGUUUGUGGCUUUAGCUUUCAUGGCAAUUACUCUUGCCCUCGUCAUAUUUGACCUUGCUUCCAACCAUUAACAUGCUUCACCAACUUGAUGCAUCAUUGACCCGAACUCAUAUUAUCAAAAGUGACUUUGAAAUAAACACAGUAUUUCUGCUUUGUCAUGCUCCUCAAAUAAAUCCUUUGAACCCUGGUAUUUUCAUGAGUUCCCAGACUCGUCUGUUGACAAAACUUAUUGUAUGCCUUAUUUUGGCUCGCAAUCAUGUCUCUUUCACGUGUUGGAUUUUUAUCUUGCUUUGUCCAAUUGAAGAAGUUUGUAGUAAGUUUUGAGAUCAUUUCUCGCUUGUUUUGAAAUGGACUUGACUCAAGGGCACGAGAAAAAUGACAAUGAUAAAUUUUAUUUUAUUUUGAAUAACUGACUCAAGAAGAAAAAAAAUAGAAAUAUAGAGAAGGAAGAAAAGACAAUGAAUGUCCCUUUUCUAAAAUAAAAAAAUAAAAAUAAAGAAAAAUUUAUCUGAAAAUGAUAGUCAACUCUAAUGAUUAUAACAUAUAUUUUGAAUUAAACAACCUGAUCUACCCAUACUAAUCAUGACAACUCUUGUUCACUCAUUGAGUUUGAAAUGGAAUCAAUCUUGAAUAUGUUCCCUCUAGAUCACAAUCCUCCUUCGGCUAGUGGCACCUUAAUGGGUUUUUGCCAACGCCUAUCUCAUUUUCAUUUCUUUCUCAGCUCACUUUCGCCUUAUGGUGCCCAAAAGGGUUUUCACCAAUAAGACUCUCUCAUUUUUACUCAUUCAUUUUAUUUUAUUUUUGAAAAUAAUAUCCAAAUACGAAACAUCAUGUACCCAUAACAUGUUUAGCCUUGACAUUUUCAAAGAUCGAUCUGAAGGUCUUUCUUUGAUUGUAACUUGGUUUUUGGAAAGGAUUAGAAAGAAAGGUCGGCAUAAGGCUCAAAAAAUUACAUAACAUUAGGUGAAACAUACAACUUUUGAAAUCGAUUUUUUUAAGGAAAUAAACCUUGCCCCAGUUUCAUUUCAUUCAGGGUAAUUUGAAUUUUCUUUUGGUUGAACCGAACCCCAGAAUAGGGCUGCCUACGUAUCUUGUCAUAGCAAGAAUCAGGUCGAACGUAGUUCAAACAUCUUGUUCUUUUGCUUGAUUUUUUUUUUACUUUUCUCUCUUUUCCUUCCUCCUUUUUUUAGAGAGAGAGAUAUUUUUCCUGACUCCAUUUUUUCUUGACACUUUUCUAACUCUAUUCUUUUUCUUGACACUUUUUUUUUGAAAAAUUUUUUCAGACUCUACUUUGAUUCCAAAAGAGGGAUAUAAAAGAAAUAAAACAAAAGCUCAAAAGGGGUAACAAAGGAUGACACAACAUUUGGAUAACAGAAUGAAAUGCCUUCUUCAUAUCAAUCCUUAAAAAAUGCAAGUAUAUAACAUGCAAUCUAGGAAUGAAACAUGAAGAUCAUACACAUCUUUUCAAUAUUGACCAUGACUAAGCACAUGCACGUGUGUCACUUCUUUUAAACUUGUAAACCAUACAGGUCUACUUGUAUUGUACUUUUCUUACAACAGAUGACUCUUUUUUUAGCUAACUUUCUUUUGCUUCUUCUGACAAUAGAAACUAUAUAUCCUCUGGUUGAUCUCAUUAAAAAAUGCUUGAGUUGAACCUUCUCAUUGAAGAUCAAUUCAUUUUUUAUUCACAAAGUGAUUGCCUCAAAAUAUUCAAGUGAGGAUGUAACUAGGUCCCCAAAACAUCUCAACACUUUACUUAUUUUUCUUACACUUGUUUUUCAACUCUAGGUUCUUGCUCAAAUGUUUCAGCAUUUGAUUGGGUUUUAAGUUUUGGCUGAAAAUUUAACAUGCUUAUCAUAUUACCAGAAUCACCAUAGAAAGAGUUCUUUGAAGAAAAAAAAUAUAUAUUGAGAAAUAAAAAUAAAAGGGACACAUAUUUUGUUGAUAGAAAGAUAGAAGGGUUUAAAUAAAAAUGAUGAUAAGAAAAUCAGACAAGAUAGGUCCUAACCUACAACCCUAAAAUAAUUCGGGUAACAGAAAAUAAAAUAAAAUAAACUACUAGGCCUCUCCCUAGGGGUGACUUCUAAAUUGCUCAGCCUGACAACUUAGCCAUUGAUUUGCAUAUCAACACGACAAUAGCUUCCACCACGAUCAAUAUCCUGCACCAUAAUCAAUUUAUCUUGAAUCAUUCUUUCUAUUUCUCUUUUCAAAGCACGACAAUCUUCAGUACUAUGACCCUGAACAUUAGAAUGAUAUACACAUCGUACAUUAGGGUCAAAGUUUCUUGAUUGUGGGUUAAGGGUAUACCCAAGAAGAGGAGUGAUCAUGUCUUUUUGUCUCAGUUUCUAGAAUAAACUGGUAUAUGAUUCUCCAAUUGGUGUGAAACUAUCCCUUAGCUUUUGUCUCUUUUCAUUAUUUGGCUUAGAGCGAAAAUCGGGUCUAGAGGGGCUUGGGUAUGUUUGGAGAAUUGGAGAAUGAUUUUGAGAGAUUGGUGCACGCCAUUGCGGGUAAGAAAGAGUCCGAACAUAUGGCUGUGCAUUAUAAAUAGAAUACUGAGGAGAUGGAAUGGAAUAUAAUGGAUUUUAUGGUGGAACAUAGUUUUGUGGAUGGUUAUAUGGGUCUUGGACAUAAAUUUGGGAUUGAGAUUGUGCGUAAGGGUGACGCAUACCUCUCCAAUUUUUCCGUGGACCUGGUAUAAUAGUUGCUACAUCCUCUUUUCUUUUGUUUCCACCAAAGCUUCCUGGACCACUUUGAAUUGCUUGUGUUGUUGCUUUUAAAGCGGCUUGGCUAAUAAUCUUUUCGGACUUAAUUCCACUCUCUACCAUCUCUCCAAUUUUAAUAACCUCGACAAAUGUAUUUCCAAUAGUAGAAAGCAAAUGAUGAAAAUAAUAAGGUUCUUGUGCCUGCUGAAUGAUAUCAAUCAUUUCAGACUCUUUUAUCGAUGGUCUGACUCUUGCAGUCUGUUCUCCAUCUGAUAGUAUAUUCUCGAAAACUUUUAGUUGUAUUUUUUAUCAUAUUAGUCAGUGUGGUACGAUCUGGGACUAUCUCGAUGUUUUAUUAAAACUGUUGAACAAAAUUUUGAGCCAUGUCAUCCCACAUGUGCCAACGGGAAAUGUCUUAGUAAAUAAACCAUUCAAAAGCUACCCCUUUCAAACUUUCUCCAAAGUAAGCCAUGAGCAAUUCUUUUUUUCCUCCUACUCCCCUUAAUUGAUUAUAAAUCAAGUGAGCUACAAUAUCGUCAUGACCUUCGUAUUUGUCAAACUUUGGCAUUUUUAACCCCAAAGGCAAAUGGACAUCAGGAAACAUACACAAAUCCUUGUAUAAAACACUCUUUGGUCCUCCCAAUCCUUGGAUAUUUCUUAUACUCUGCUCCAAGCUUCUUACUUUCCUAGCCAUCUCAUCUUGUUCCUCAUUCUUAACAAUCUUUUCAAUCACGAUAGAAGAAUCGUGUUGAUGAGCAUGACAAUGUGGAUUUUGAGGUUUGAAAGUCAUUUCAGGAGGAUACAAUAGAUCAUGACUUGGUUCCCCCAUAUUCUUUUGUGUUGUCGAUUGAAGACCCGCAGUAGCUGGUGCUACAGAAGUGAAAAAUGAAUUAUUUGUGACAGACGAAUUUGGUGGGCCCGUGGUAGAAGUACCUAUAGCGCCAAACACAUUAGCAUAUGGGCAGAAUCCAAGCGGGUAAAAUGGAUCGCUAGUUUGAGCUUAAGUAGGAUUUGGAUCAUUCAUAUUCGCAAGUCCAGGGAUUAAGUAAGGCGGGGCUUGUCCAUUUAACCAAGCUUGGUACAGUUCCGUCAUCUAUUGUUUCAAUAACUUAACCUCUUCCAUUGAUGCUAAUUCUGGCAAAAUCAACUGAUUUUGCUCCUCCUCACUGUCAGGCCCUACACUCUAUUUGCGGGUCAUUUUUCUUUUUCCCUUGUAUCUGGUGUUGUACAGAUGUGAUGCCGGUUUAAACAACUAGCCAACCACCAACUACUUUAUUUUUUUGUUAUCAAGUAGCAAGAAGGUGAGUGUUAUAUAUUUAACACAUUAUAAUGUCACGUUGUAUGUUAUGCUUCUAGAUGCAUUUUCCAACCUAUUAGGGAAGACUUUAUGUUUCAUCCCGGCUUUCUAGGCGCACGUUUUUGAAAAAUUUUGAUCAAACCCUUUAGAGGGUUGCCUACGUAUCAUGCCAAGACAUGAAUCAGAUCUUGCGUAAUUCGAAAAAAUUGAAGAUACGAAGAAAUAUACCUUUUUUAUUAUUAUUAUUAUUAUUUGAAAUAUGAGAAACAAAUUUUUUUAUUUUUGAAUAACAUUUUUAAUUUUUGAAAAUAUUUUUUUUUUUUAGAAGGAAAGACAUCCAAAUUUUUUAAGAUCACCGAAUCCAUUGAGGACUACCUACGUAUCUUAUUAAAAUAAGAAUCAGGUGUGCAUAGUUCUUGAAAAUUAAAGAUACAAAGAAAUAUACCUUUUUUUUAAUAAUGAGAAAUUUAUUUAUUUAUUAAAUAAUAUGUUUUUUCAUUUUUAAAAAUAACUUCUUUUUUUUAGUUUAAAAGGAAAGACACCCAUUUUUUAAAAUAUCACCGGAUCCAUUGAAGACUGCCUACAUUUCUCAUUAAGAUGAGUAUCAGGUGUACGUAGUUCUUGAAAUAUAUGUCGUACAAAACUAAGCCUCAAGACCCCUAAAGGUUCACGGCUGCUAAGAUUUAUAUAGAUUUUAUUUUGUAAAACUUAGCCUAAUGAUCCCUAAAGAUUCAGGGCUAUUAAGAUAUAUAUAAAAGUUAGAGUUGAGAAUUAGAAAAAUAAUUAUGAAAAUAAUCAUAUUUUCAAAAUAUUCCCCAAUAAGUCUAUGAAUAAUUUUUCAAAAGGUAGGGUUGUAUCCUGAGAAGGACUUCCUACGUAUCCCACUAAGAUGUGAGAAUCAGACCCUCGUAGUUCAUGAAGAUCGUAAAACUAUGUUACUAUAUAUUUAAAAUUUUUCCCUUCUUUUAAAAAUAAAAUUUUUCUUUGAAAAAAAAUAAUUCACUAAAUGUGAGGAUAAAUUAAUCUCUUGCAUUUUAAAGUUGUCUAAAGCCGGUCAACAAACAAAUAGUCUUCCAAAUAAAUGUCAAAGAGCACGUAGGAUGCACACGUUGGUCUUUAUAAAAUAGGUCACUUGUCCUAGAUAGACCCGGCUCCUGUGCCAAGUCCCGCUAAGUCAAAUGCAUAUGAUGCAAAUAAAGAGGCACCUAAUAGGGAUAACCAGAUUCUGAGUUUUUAGUUCUUCUAAGUUUGAGCCAAAUAGGGAUAGGUAUCUGGACUGGCUUACCCGAGCGAACACUUGAGUCGGGGAGGGACAACUUGAUCUAUAGCAGGGCAACAUCGCCUUCGUUGUUGAUCCGAACACUGCCUAACAUAUGUGACUAUAAUCCUUCACUGGGUGCCUUGAAACUCCGGCUAUCUCAAAAAGAAGGUAGGUUGCAUACGCUACAUUCCUUCUAUCAUAUUUCAGAGACUCAUAGGAGGUGUGCAAGAGAAAACAGUAUAUAAUACAGUUCAAUCAAUAUCAAAGCGGUAAAUAAGUGACAAGUAGAACAUAAGGCCAACAAACACAAUAUCAACAAUAAUUAAAGCAAGUAUAAGUCAAUAUCAAAAGCUCGAAUUCUAGUUAGAUCCCCAGCAGAGUCGCCAGAGAUGUCACACCCUUUUUCAGCCCGAAGGGUCGAGUCAAAGGGUUUUUAUAAUUAAAGUGAAGGUUUUGAAUAGGGAUUAAUUUAUUUCCAGAGUCGCCACUUAGAAUUGAGUUAUGGUGUUCCAAGUCACCUUUUUGAAUCCUUAGUCAAAAGGAAAUGACUCUUUGUUGGUCUGCGAAAACAGAAGACUGGGUAAGGAAUUCUAUUGACCGAAGGAAAGGUGUGAGGCAACCCUCGAGUCCCGUGGUUCUAGCACGGUCACUUUCAUUGACUUAUCUUGACUUAAAAUUAUUUUUUAUAAAUUAUGUUUAUAAGCCUUAAUUCGCUCACUUUUAAUAGCUACAAUUGUUUAUAAAUAUCUUAUAUUAAAUAAAUCGGUGAAAGUUAAUUUUAAAAAAGUAUUUGCCAAGGUGCAUUAUUGCAUCCUUGACUUUUAAAAUGCCUCGAAAAGAUGUGUACGCCACAUUCUUAAUCGAGACGAAAUAUAUAUUAAACGUGUUAAAAUUUAUCUAGUGUUAAAAAUGUUCAUUCAUUAUUUGUAAAUUUAUAUCAACUUUAUCUAUUCGAAAAAUAAACUAUUUAUUCUUAAUGAUAAACUAAGCGGUUUCUUACUCACAGCGAUAAGUUAAUUUAAUAAACAAUUAUCAAUUAUUGUUAAUAAAUAUAAAAUAUAUAUAAAAAAUAAAAAUAAAAUGACAUAUAAUAAAUAAAUAAAUAAAUAAAAUAAUAAAGUAAUAAUAAUAAAAAUAACACAAAUACCCAAAAAGAAGACUAACUAUAUUAUACUGACUUUAUCAUGAAUCUCCAAAUUCUAAUUUACUGUAGCAAGUUAAAAAAGUUUCGGAUCUUUCAAUUAAAUGAAUAAUAAUUCUUAUUUACUAUUGAUAGUAAAAAUUAUUUAUUUAUUUAUUUAUUUAUUUAUUUAUUUAUUUAUUUAUUUUGUAAACAAGUAGUUGACUAAAAAGGAAAUUGAAGACUUUAAUAAAAGGCAACUUUUAUUAUUUUUUAAAGAAGAAGAAAAAAAGGAUGCAUAAUAGGACAGGAUGAGUUGAUUUUCACCGAUGACGGUGCCAUAAAUCACUGCAUCAGUAUAAAAUUCGAUGGUGAUUGGACAUGAUCGACAUGACAGAUCUGAAAGAGAUAUGGCCGGAUUCGCCGGUUGAAGCUGAUAGGCCGAUUUUCGACGGGAUGGUAUGGUUGAGGGUCACCGGAGUUGUUAAUUUGGGAUGCUGGCCGUCUGGUAAUAAGAUUCGGAGGCAGCAUCGACAAGAGAGAAGGGCAUCGUAGCGGCGCCAUGGUUUGGCUGACGAACAGCAGCGAAAGAUCUGGGGAGGGGAGUGACGGCGCGGGACCGACGAAGUUUUUUCGGCGAGUUGGUUCGCUGGAACCGACCAUAAGGGUCGAAUUUUGACAAAAAUAGAAUGGAUUCGUCAAUGGUGAAUUUUUCGAUGGAUUUUUGGUGAGAAAAUUUGCCGAAAAAUUCAAAGAAAGAUUGACAAUGUUCCUUUUCUCCUUCAAAUUUAAUUUUUCAUCUCCCUCUCGUUUCUGUUUUCACUGAUUUUUCUUCGUUCCCUACUAUUCUGUCUAUGUUGAUUUUUUAUUCCAAAUUCAUUUCAAUUUUUAUAUGCAUGUAUUUCAUUUUCAUGUGCGUGUAUUGCUAUAUCUGUGAGUGGUGUGUGCAGUAUUUGGUGUCAAACACACAAAUAUACAAAUAUAUAGUAUUUUAAUAGCAUAACAAGUACAACAAAAUUUUACGUAAUUGAUAAUUUCACAUGCUAAAUAAGGCAACGACAUCACUUAAGCAUUUUUCAUUCAUGUUUUAUGCAAGAACAUCCAUAAAAAAUAUUACACAAUUAAAUAAGAAACAAGAACCUAUUGAUGAUUAAAACAAUUCGAACACCAUAACCGAAAACUUUGACAAGAAUUCCAAUUUCAACGUUUCUUCUUUCUUUUUUAUCUCUUUGCCUGAUGUUUUUCUUAUGAUGAUUUCGAAUGUUUCACUCACUCUCUUUUUUUACUCUGACUUUUUUUUCUUUUCUCAGUGUCUAGUUUGUAGAAUGAUGUACGUAGUUUUCUCUAGAAAAAAAAUUUACUGUCAAAGUAUCUGAUAGUGAAUGUACAUUCUCCUUUCCUGGUGUUGAAGAGUCUUUUAUAGAGGAGAUUCAUGGGAGAACAGUUGGAAGUCAGAUAAGGAAAGGAGGUUGGGUAGUUUAGGAUAAGAAGAAAGUUUUCAAAUUUUAAAUCUUUUUUUUUUAGGAUAAUGAUCUCCCUUUUAUUUUAAUUAAUAAAUAAAUUAUAUAUAAAAUAAAUUAUAAAAAAUAUAAUAAAAAUAUAACUAACUUAAAAAUAAAAUAUAAUUAAGAGAAAAUAAAAUUACUAGCUUAUUUAUAAAAAUCUAAAUUAAAAGAAAAUAUUUUUUGAAAAGUUUUUCGUAUUAUUUCAAAAAAAUAUAAACAAAAUAUCUCAAAAUUAACUUUAUUUAGUUAUUUACUUUUUUAACGAAAAAUUUAUUAAAAUAAAAUAAGAAUUUAAAUAAUAUUAUACCAAAUAUAAAUAUUUAAUAUCGAAAAAUAUAUAUAUUAAAUUAGGAAGGAUCAAAAAUUACGUGUCUACAAUCGUAAAAGGAUUUCACUGGUAAAUUUGAGAGAAUAAUCAUAUUAAUUUCUUUGGGUAAGUCAGCCAUUAGAAGGUUUACCUAUUCAAUAUUUGCCCCAUAGUAGAAGAGAAGAAUUAUUAUGCCUUCGAGGCAAGGUACAAUUAUAUUUAUAGAAGAAGAAAACGUUGAUUAGGUUAGUGUAAAGGUUUGACACCAGAAAAUUGGUGAAUAAUUCUGUUUAUUAUAUUUAGUACAAAGUUAACAUGAUCCUGCAAAAAUCAAGGAACCGACCUUAUAAUAAAAAUCCCUAAAUUUAAGCAUGUCAAUUAAGAGUUAACUCCUCAAAAUGUGAUUAGCUUGUGUAAACAUCCCACUAAAGUAAUGUUUAUUUCUUUUGUGACAACAUUAUUACUGAACUAUGCACUUCUAUUCAUUAUAAGGUAAAACUAAAAAAUUGUUAAGGAUAUGUUUGGAGAACCACAAGAAAAGUAAAAUUAGAUAUAGUUACAUAGUCCAAUUCUCAAUUAGAAAUAGAGAAUUAGGUGCAAUUACGUGAUCUAAUUACAAAGUUACAUUUUAUUUCUUUUUUAAAAAAAUAAAAUUAAUAUCCUGUUCUUUAAAUUUCUUUUUUAUUUUUAUUAUUUUAAUUUCUUUUUUAUUUUUACUUUUUUUCAUUUUACAUAUUUAUCUUUCAUCUUUUUUCUUCUCAUUUUUCAACCUUUACUUCUUAUGAUUCAAUAUAAUUACUCGUAUUUUUUUCCUUAUUUAGCGCAUUAUUGUAUUUUUAUUCUAGUGUUUGAAUUAAAGUAGUAUUUCAUUAUUGAAUGAGAUGACUUAUGUAUUUCCUUUCUUUUGAAUUAUUUACACGUUGGAAUUUUAUAUAAGAGUAUUGUGUUUUUUUCUUGAAUUUUCAAUUUGUAUUUUAUUUUAUGUUUCAAUUUAUUUGUUUUAGUACUAUAGACUUGUUACUUUAUAUUGCAUGUCACUUUGAAUUGUCGAGUUAAUUUUUCAAAUUGCCAUUGAACUUGUGCAAACAUCCUACUAAAGUAACUUUUUUUAAUUUCUUUUAGGAAAAUAUUGUCAUUAAACUAUGUACAAAAUAAGGUGAAACUAAAAAAUAGUUAAGGAUAUAUUUGGAAAGCCAUAGAAAAAUUAAAAUUAUAUGUUAUUAGACAAUUUGCAAUGACAUGCAAUAUGAAAUAGUAUGUCUAUACUAUUAAAACAAAUAAACCGAAACAUAUAUUCAAAAUUCAAGAGAAAAAUAUAAUACUCUUGUAUAAAAUUUCGAAGAGUAAAUAUAAUUCAGAAACACAUAAGUCUAUAAUCUCAUUCAAUAAUAAAAUAUUACUUUAAUUCGAACACUAGAAUAAAAAUUAUAAAAAUGCAAUAAUGCGCUAAAUAAAAAAAAAAUAUGAGUAAUUAUAUUGAACCAUAAGAAGUAAAGUUAAAAAAUGAGAAGAAAAGAGAUGGAAGAUAAAUAAUGUAAAAUGAAAAAAAAAAAGUAAAAAUAAAAAAGAAAUUAAAAUAAUAGAAAUAAAAAAGAAAUUUAAAAGAAAAAGAUAUUGAAUUUUAUUUUUUUUAAAAAAAGAAAUAAAAUGUAACUUUGUAAUUAUAUCACGUAAUUGCACCUAAUUCUCUAUUCCAAAUUGAUAAAGACUAUGUAAUUACAUUUAAUUUCACUUUUCUUGUGGUUCUCCAAACAUAUCCUUAACAAUUUCUUAGUUUUACCUUAUAAUGGAAAGAAGUGUUCAGUGACAAUAUUGUCCUAAAAGAAACAAAAGUUACUUUAAUGGAUAUUUACAUAAGUUCAAUAAAUUAUUUAUUAGUUAAAAAACAACCUUCUCUAAUAAAUAGACAUUAAUUUAAGACAAAAAAAAAAAAAGAUAUUAUAGAUAAUUAAACAUGCUGGUGUCUUACCGUGUGACGACUCUUGAGAAUUAAUUAACAUAACAAAGUUUCUUGGAGAACAAGUUUUUGUGAUAAUAUAAAUAUGAUGUUGUUUUAGCUCAAUUGUAUCACAACUUCUCCUUAAUAAUAUAUCUUUUGUUACUAUUUGAUAAUCGAGUUUACUCUUUGGAAUGGCAAAUCUUCCUGUGGAAAUCACUAUGAUUAUCCUCUCAAAUUUAUCGAUAAAAUCUCUAUUAUGUACGAUUUAAGUGUGUUUCUAAGCCAUGGCGUUGUUGGAUUUCAAGUCCAAAUUUGCGGCUCUCGAAUCAACAGCAAAAAGGAGUAAUGCGCAGCUCAUUAAUCCGCUUCAUAUAUUUUUCCUCGCAUAAAAAGGAAUCAUACCCAAGCUUUUGCAUUGUUGGGUUCUUGUCAUGGUCUUAUAUUGAUAAAUACUUACUUAUUUGUGGAAUCCUGUCACGCGAUUUUCCAUUUUCUUAUGGAAGUUCCUUUCCUCCUUUUCCAUUUUUUACUUUUAGGCAUAUGUGAAGAUGCGGGAAGCACGAUUGGUGUGACUUCAGUGGAGUGUAAGAUGCGGGAAGCACGAUUGAGAUGGUUCGGACACGUGAAGAGGAGGGGCAUGGAUGCCCCGGUCCGUAGGUGUGAGAGGCUAGCGUUGGAUGGUUUUAGACGGGGUAGGGGUAGACCGAAGAAGUACUGGGGUGAGGUGAUUAGGCGGGACAUGGAACAGUUACAGCUCACCGAGGACAUGACCCUAGAUAGGAAGGUCUGGAAGACGCGAAUUACGGCAGAGGAUUAGGGCCUGUUCGGGUCGCUAAUGUAGGGAGGUAAUUGGUGGGGGUGUAUUCCUGGUAUGAUUCCGUAUUCAAUGUUCUGUUCCGUGUUCCGUGUUCUAUGUUUGUUACGAAUCUGUGUGCUUUCCUCUGCUUUAUAUUCCUGCAUUCAGAGGUAGAGGUAUGGACUGCGUACAUCUUACCCCCCCAGACCCCACUAAGUGGGAAUACACUGGGUUUGUUGUUGUUAGGCAUAUGUGAAAAAUGUAACACCAAAAGGAUGUUUAAGUAAUGCUUUCGCGCAAAGUUGAUGCAAUAAAAUUCUCCUGUCAAACUUGUCUGAUGGAUAUGUGGAAAAUCCAGAGAGAAAGAAUUCCCUGUUGGGAAACUUGUCAUUGAAAAGUAAGUUUUCCCAGUAUGAAUAAUUUAUUUAUCGUAUCAAUCCUCAUGUCCUCGUAUGCUAAGUUCCUAUACUACAGUUUGGUAUCCGUGGAGCCACUGUUCAAGCUUUAUCACCUUUGCAACUUCAUCACCGUAACAAGAUUGCCAUUCAAGCUGAUGAGGAUUUCGGGAAGAUUGUCAUGGCAGUUCCUCUUUUAGUCUGUAAGUCCUUUAGUUUAAUAAAUUUAUUUUAGCAUUUUGGUUCAACUGGUUUAAGAGCUAUUUGCCAUUCCUUUGCUUCUUGGUAUCUAUUUUUGUGUGUUCCAUUUUGUUUAUCCUAACUCGUGUUUGUCAAUGGUGUAUGUUCAGCAAAAGCUCUUGAACUCUUUCUGCAAGAUCUUUGUGACCAUACAUAUGAUAUCAACCUCAAAAAAGGAUCAAAAACUAUGAAUUCUUUCCAUUUGUAAGUUUAGUUAAUUGUUGUUUAUGAUAUUACACACUGUAUUAGUUCUUUGGUUAACAACUAACUUGGUCCCUCUACGUUACUCGAAACAAUGUAUCCAGAUUUUUAAUGAGCUUGAUUUCCUCAAGGGUGUAAUGAGCGGAAUUCAUCUAGGUGGGUAGGAUGCUGGUGCUGAAUCUGCUACCAAAAGAAGGUUAAAAAAUUAUACUUCCUAUGAUUAAUUUUGAUUUACAUCAUUAACAGAAACUUUAAUGCACUAGACUGCCCUUUAGUGACAUAGUUCAUAAAUAGUGCACAUUCAUUCUAGCAGUAACUUAGUAGCAAAAUAAUCUCACAUUGGGAACAAACAAACAAAAUCUGCGUACAGUUUAGUGUAAGUGAAGGUAGUGAGUGAUGCCUAAAUUUUGAUUUUACCCGACGAAAGCUACUUUUAUCUAUAUGACACCAUUGAGAUAAUUCGACAAGUCAUAUUUCACCUUUGGAAUACUGAGAGUUGAUUUUGUUAUUGUAGUGUCAAAAAACUAUAUGAAUCAGUAAUUAUAGCAAAAGACCAUCAAUAGCUGACAAAUUAAAAUACAAUCAAAAAUCAUAAAUUACUUAUAAAAUGUUGAAAAUUUAUCAAAAUAUUUCAUCCAUAAUAAAAAUUAAUGCUGAAAAGACAAAAGGUUACAUUCCUGAUUCCACAGAAUGAAUCUUAUUCAAGUCUCCUAAAUAAUCUGCGACUCAUGUUAUUUUCUCUUUUUUAUGUCUCUUUUUCUCUUAUCAUUGGAGAAAUGUGCACUAGGUUCUUCAUCAACGUCUACCACAGACAACACUCUCAAGUCUGCUUCUCUUUGCAGGGUAUUUGAAGCAGAGUUUACUUCAUUUUCAGCUAUAAAAUUCUAAAAUUUCAAGAAAAAAAAUUGUCAAAAUCAGGUAUCUUUAUGAACUUUAACAAAUGAUCAAUAUAUCUACAUAUAAGUUUGUGACGAGUGAGUUGUUCAUGACUGAACUCUGGAUACUGUGAAAGAAAAAUAAUAACAUCACCAACAUUCUAUAUUCUAAGUUAAUUUAUUUUAACAUAAACCAACAAAUUCAAUUUUUCUGAAAGUAAUGUGAACAUAUAAUGCAUGUUUCUUCACUCAGAUAGGGACGAUAUUGCUUGAUAAGAUCCUUAUCAUCACUAAAUUUAAGAGCAGAGUAAAACUUCAUCAUGUUGCUCUAUAUUAUUUUUCUUGACGGCCACUUUAAACAUGAUCUCUCUAUCCAAAGUGUUAUCCAUCUCUAAUGGAUAUGAAGAUACACCAACAUUCUAAAAUAAAUAGUGGUAUUAGAAAAGGUAAAACAAACAGAUUCAAAUAUAAUUUUAUUAUUUUACCUCAAGUAAUCCUUUCACUAAUUCAAUGAAAGUCUUCCUUAUGAGUUUUAUCUCAUAUUGGUUCCAAAACAAUAAAGUAAUAAAGUCAGUCUCUACAAGAUCUGUUACUUUCGAGAAUAAUUUAUAUCGGCAAGACAUGUUUCAAUUUUUUUUUUAUUUUUGUAAUUAUAAUUUAAUUUAAUCAUGAUUUUUUUAAAAACUUGUGAAAUGCAGAACUCUCAAGGCUUUCACACGUUUUGCAAUAAAAUUUACUGUCAAGUUCAUCAAUCUCCCUAUUGCAAUUCUUACAGCUCAGGUAUGACCUUUUUUUUAUCAAGAUCUAUAUGUACUAUGGUUGUUCCUUCCUAUAUUUAUUAAAAUAGCAUAGCUAAAAAAUAUUCACUUGUUAUACUAUAAUUUAACAUUGAAAUAAAUGAAUUAGUGUUACUCACGUCCAUGCACUCAAUUAACUACUUGAUUGUUUUAACUUCAACUGCUCCAAAAACCAACUCAUCUGAAAUAGAAUAGUUUUGUUGAGAGGACAGUUGACUAAUCAUCUCGCAUUUAUCUCCACACACAUUUUCUAGUCUAUAAGUAUUGAACUUUGUUAAAAUGUCUAUCAUAUAAAAAUUUCUCUAGAUUACUAAAAAAAAUAUAAAUGGAGUACGUAGGAGUAUAUAUAAACCAAAAAAUAAAAUCAACAACUUUAGACAGUUCAGGAUUAAUCCAUAAUCUUGAAGCAGUUCAAAAAUUACUUACAGAAAAUUUUUCUACACUUGUGUGUAUAUAUGUAAUUAAAUGCGGAUAUAUAUACACUUUAAAUAAAAUUUUUAAAUGUACAUUGUUAGUUAAAAAUCUUUAAACUUAUGAGCCUGUAUGAGUUGCAUAACCACAAUGACAGGUUUAUCAGUAGAUUCGUCCAAGUGUGGACGAAUUUGUUAAACAAAUUCCGCCUAGAUAGUAGCUUCAAUUAUGUUAUUCCUUUGUAAAAAUGCACAAUCUAAUCAUAUAAAAAAUGGAACAACCUAAGAUGUAUCAAUGGUUAUAAUUAUAUAUGCAUUCUUACUUAUAAUCCUUGAGUUCCACAUUCAUAAAAGCAUUGAACUUAUCACCUUGUUUGUAUUCUUGUAAAGGUCCAUAAGCAACGAUCUCUCCUACGAUGUCUAUCAAAAUUGAAAAAAGUGCUUCUACUUAGUAUGACAUAUAAUUGGUGAAACAUUCAUACUAAAAAUUUGUGUAAAAAAUAAUUAUCGAAAGGCUUAGUCUCAUUAAUAUCGACUUGCUUUAUCAAAUACUCAAAUAAGUGAAAUUUAAAUAAAAUCUAAUCAAAGCAUGGAUCGACAGUUUUCUGUAUGCUUGUUCUAUGAGUGAACAUCAGUUUCAUUUUGUGAUUGUUGGUCUUUACUUUUGACUUAUUUUGUACAAUUUUUUUAUUUCUGGUCUGAACUUAGGGAUAACAGAGGUUUCAAUGAAUGCCUGAAUAUGAUCACCCUAUAAACAAACAAUCCAUAAUAAUGUCAUAUGCUUUCCAAAAGGAAAAAAAAAAUAUUACAAAAAAUAGAUAAUGAAGUAGGUAGACCUUGUUUCUAAUGAUACUAUCUUGUUGGGAUUUUCAUGUUUUGAAACUUGCCACAAAUGCAUUAUACAAAUCACAUAUAGAGUUGAUUUUAGCAAAUAUUUUUUUGAUAGGUCUUGGAUGGUGUGUUUUUCCCUCAUGAUGAACUUGAAAUACAUUGAUAUAAUAUGUAUUUAUAAUAAUGUUGUAGUUUUUGAAUAAAAGUGUUGGGACAAAACUAUAUUAAGUUCAAAUUCAAAUUAAGGUAUGAUAAACACUAAAAAUUGAGAUAAAAUUAAAACUCUGAAAUUAUAGAUGUAGUUAUAAUCAUUAAUAAAAAUUUAAAAUUGUUAUCUGAUUAAAGUAUCUUUUUAAUUGCUGAAAAUUAGGAUAAUUUAGGUAAAAAGAUGUAGUUAUAAUCAUCAAUAAAAAUUUAAAAUUGUUAUCUGAAAAUCAGGAUAAUUUAGGAAAAAAAUGAGAGGGAAUAUCUCUUUUUUGGUGAUCAAAAUAUUUGGUGGCAGGAUAAUGUAAAAAAAAAAGAGUUCUAUUUUAAGUUUAAUCCUCUAAAAAAAAAGGCACUUUCCUUUAGUUGUGGUACUCAUUUUUUUACAUUAUCCUGCCACCAACAUUUUGAUCAUCAAAAAGAACAUUUCCUCUCACUUUUUACCCAAACUAUCCUAAUUUUCAACAACUAAAAAGAUAUCUUAACUAGAUAACAAUUUUAAAUUUUUAAUGAUUAUAUAAUUUCAAAGUUUUAAUUUUAUCUCAACUUUUAGUGCUUAGCAUGACUUAAUUUGAAUUUGAACUUAGUAUAAUAUUGUCCCAACAAUUUAUUAUUAGCUCUCUGUAAUUCAAAAACUACAAUAUUACUAAAAAUACAUAUCAUAUCAAUGUAUUUCAAGUUCAUCAUCGUAGAAAAAAUACACUAUCCAAUAUCUAUCAAAAAAUAUCUGCUAAAAUUGACUCUAUAUGUGAGAUAUUGACUACUAAGAUGCAAUGAAAUUUGAAGGUUCGUAUAGUGCGUUUGUGUCAGGUUUUAUUUUUCUAUAAUGUUUCCUUUUUUUCCUUUUGGAAAGCAUAUAACAUUAUUAUGAAUUAUUUAUUUAUCGAUUGGUCGUAUUCAGACAUUCGUUGGAGCCUCUGUUAUUUUAAAGUUCAGACCAGAAAUAAAAGAGCUGGAGUUAUAUUCUAUGAAAAAUUUUGUUAUAAUACCAAAUAUGCUAGUCAAAAGUCAGUAUCAACGAUCACAAAAUGAAACUGAUGUUCACUCAUAGAACAAGCAUACAGAAAAUGUUGAUCCAUGCUCUGAUCAGACUUUAUUUAAAUUUCGCCUAUUUGAGCAUUUGAUAAACUAAGGCGAAUUUUAUAAGACUAAAUUUUUUGAUAAUUAUUCUUUACACAAACUUUUCAAUAUGAAUGUUUCACCAAUUAUAUGUCAUACUAAGUAGAAGUACUUUUUUCAAUUUUGAUAGACAUCGUAGGAGAGACGAUUGCUUAUUAACCUAUUAAAAAAUACAAACAAUUUUAUGUCAUACUAAGUAGAAGUACUUUUUUCAAUUUUGAUAGACAUCGUAGGAGAGACGAUUGCUUAUUAACCUGUUAAAAAAUACAAACAAGGUGAUACGUCCAGUGCUUUUAUGAAUGUGGAACUCCAGGAUUAUGAGUGAGACUGCAUAUAUAAUUAUAAUCAUUGAUAUAUUUCAAGUUAUCCCAUUUUUUAUACGAUUAAAUUGUGCAUUUUUUUUAUGAAGGAAUAACAUGAUUGGAGCUACUUUUGAGCGGAAUUUGUUGAACAAAUUCGUCCACACUUGGAUGAAUCAUUGAUAAACAUGUCAUUGUGGUUAUGCAAGUCAUACAACCUCACAAGUUUAAAGAUUUUCAACUAACGAUGUACAUUUGAAAAUUUUAUUGUAUGUGUAUAUCUAUUUGCAUUUGAUUACAUAUAUAUACAUAAAUGUAGGAAAAUUCUAUGUACGUAAUUUUUUGACAGUUUCAAAACUAUGGAUUAAUCCUAAACUGCCUGAAGUUGCUGAUUUUAUUUCCAGGUUUAUAUAUACUCCUACAUCCUCUAUUUAUAUUUUUUUAGUAACUUGGAGAAUUUGUUAUAUGAUAGAUAUUUUAACAAACUUUUAUACAUUAUAGAAUGAAAAUGUAUGUGGAGAUAAAUAUGAGAGGAUUAGUCAACUGUCCUCUCAACAUAGUUAUUCUAUUUCAGAUGAGUUGGCUUUUGAAGCAGUUGAAGUUAAAACUAUCAAGCAGUUAAUUGAGUACAUGGACGUGAGUAACACUAUUUCAUUUAUCUCAAUAUUAAAUUAUAGGAUAAUAUGUGAAUAUUUUUUAACUAUUCUACUUUAAUAAAUAUAGGAAGGAAGCUUCUAUGUUGCUGCAACCAUAUUACAUAUAGAUUUUGAUAAAUAAUGGUCAUACCUGAGCUGUAACAAUUACAGUAGGAAGAUUGAUGAUGAUUAUUAUGUACGUGGGGGACUUUGUUUCGUCUCUUCCGAGAAUGUUUACAAGGCAAUGCUGAUUAUGCAACAUCAGACCGCAGAUUUUGGUGGUGAGUUUGUUAUAGUUGCUAGUCUUAAAGACGAAGAAUGGAGACCACUCGAAUUCCCUUGGGAUAUCCUCUCAAUGAGUACUGUUUUUACAUUUCAGGGACGACAAAAUAUGUAACAAUGAUAAGACCAAGAGAUUUGGGGAGGGUAUGUGGGAGCGCUUUGAUUCUUUUAACCAAGUAAUUUAUUUUGAUCCCAUCGCUGAAAAGUUUCAUAUGUUUCCGGUCCCUAAGCCUAAACCUAAUCAAGAAGAGAAUGUUAUCAUUGGUUUAGGAUUUUUAAAUGAAUGUCUUUGUAUGACUCGAUUAAAAGAUGAUAAUAAGAGUGGUGUUGAGAUAUUGGUCAUGAAGGAAUACGGAGUGAAGAAAUCAUGAACAUCCUUACUUUUCAUCAGAAAUUUAAGAAUAAAUCCUUCUUACUACUCUGUAGUGCCCUUUUUCAUGACAGAAAUAUAGGUUCUUUUACGAGGAAAAAUUGUUGCAUACUAUCCCAAGAAUGAUAAUAGGAGAGACAUUCUCAUCGACAAAGAGAGCGAACUUAAUUUUGGCGUCAUCACUACCUAUGUGUAAAGCUUGAUCUCACCAAAGAAAUACUACCGGAGUGAGAAGCGUCACAAACAAUUUGGAGAGCUUUGAAGGAAAAGAGUUCCCUAUAGAGGAUCUUUUAUUUAUUUUUUAUUUUUCUACUCUCAAGUUAAACCUAUAUAUUGACUCAAGAAACACCAAAAAUGCUGCUAAAGAACUUAAAUCUAUUACUCCAAAAGCCAUUUAUGCUAAUCAUCAAUUAUGUCAUUUAAAUAAAAUUAUAACGUCUCUUUCCAAACAUUUUGUGCAGUUUCUCACUCCAGUAGUAUUCCUUUGGCGACGUCAAGCUUUCCACAUAUGUAAUCAUGGGGCCAUAUGUAAAUUUCCUCCCUAUCCCGACAUCGAGAAUGUCUCUCCUAUUAUCAUUCUUAGGAUUGUAUACAAUAACUUUUUGAGUCAUAAUUCCAUAAGAAGAAUUUAUUUCUAAAUCCCUUAUGAUAUAUAAAGAUGUCCAUGAUUCCUUUACUCCAUAUCCCUUCAUAACCAAUAUCUCAGCUCCAGCCUUAUCAUCAUCCAAGCGAGUCAUACAAAGACAUUGAUUUGAAACUCCUAAACCAACUAUAACAUUCUCUUCUUGAUUUGUGGAGGAUGAUGAAUAUGAUGUGGUACCUAGGUGCUCUUUAGGUGUAUCAAUUUUGGGUGUUAAUGGAAUAAUUUCACGGUCUACCAUGGUCAGCUCUAGCCCUUGUAAAUAUUCUUCUCACGAUGAUUUAUCUUAUUAAACGUUAUAAUGACUUCCUCUUGCAGGGUUAAAGUAAAAUUGCAGAUUUGCUGUCAGUCUUAUGGUUUAUCACAUAUUUCGUCUAUAAAUCAACAAGCAAGCAUUGCUAAUUGCUUAUAUGUUUAUUGCUAUAUUAUUUGUCUUGAGCCGAGAGUCUACCAAAAAUAGUGUAAUAUACCUCACCUAUUCAAUUCAAAAGUUCAGUUUGAAAGGAAUACUAUGUCUCCUAGAAUAAUGUUAGACCUAUUGUAGCUACAGAACCACGAUUGAACUCAAAUUAUAGACUAUUUAGUUGAUGCGAUUGUAUUAUCUAUAAACUAUAAUAUAUAAUGGCUAGUCGUAUUAAAUGGGGUGAUUUUUCACGUGGACUAGUCAUGUGGCAUUUUUCUAUCCACGUGGCGUGCUUGGUGUCAUUUUAUUAGAUAGAGGGGUAUUUUUGAACCAAUUUUUUGUCCUUUUUCAUUUUUACAAUUAAAUGUCGACACAAAGCUUUUUAAUUAAAUAGGGAAAAGGAUUACAAAAAGUGUAAACAACAUAAAUCCCCUAGACAAUGCAAAUAAUUACACAAAAUCCCUUCUUGUUUUCUCUCUCCCUUUUUUUGCAAACAUAUUCAUACAUUCGGUCACAUAUUAUACAUUGGUCGAAUGUAUGAUGUAACAGCAAAUCCUAUAUUUAAGGUAAAAGAGUCUUUAAUUAUUUUACAGUUCCUUAAUUAAAGGCAGUAAUUAGCCAACAUUAAGUCGUUUAUUGAUAGAACAUGUAACUGAUAUUUGAAUUUUAAAAAUUUUGUUAUACAUAAUUUUUUUUUCCUGUGAUUCACGAUCUAGAAAGCCAAAAAACAACCACUUUCUUCUACACCCGUUCUUCAAAACUACUAAAAUCUUCUUCUACAUACGUUCUUCAAUACUAGUAAAAUCAAUAUGAAUAUCCACGUAUUGUUGCGACAUUCUGAAAUUCGGGAGUCAGAAAUUAGUUAUAUGUCAUACAAAAGUGACGCAAUAGUAAUUUCGGUAAAAUACGGACGAGUCGGUCACAACCGCAGGACUUACGGUUUUUUUCCAAAGGAAUCAUGAAGAAUAUAAUAUGGUUUUCUAUGUGCGGAUGCUUUGAAUGGUUUUGAUUGUAUAAAUAUUUUUUAUUAAUUUUUUUUUUUUUUUGAAUGCUGAAGCAAGUAAUAUAUAUAUAUAUUUUAUUGAUUAUAGAUGUUAAUUUCUUUAAUAAAUGAUUUAUAGUAGUAUAAAAAUUUUAAGCUUUUUUUCUAUAUCAUAGUUCGUAACCAUAUAACUUAAAGUUAGAACAUGAUUAUAAAUGCACAUUAACUAUGUAACUUACCCUCUAUAGAAGUAAGUAAUUGUUGAAACGCAUGAUGUAUUAAACUAUUGUACAUUAAUAGUUAAUGUGUAAUAAAUUAUGAUAUACCAUUAUACGUUUUAACAUGUAUGAGGUUCGAAAUACAAUAACGAAAUUUAACUGAAUUCAAUUUUAAAAAAAAAAAUUAUAUACAGUAUCAUUCCAGUAAAUUUAUGAAUAUAUAAUAUGUUUUUAUACAGUCAAAUCAAUGUAUAAUAAAUGUCUGCCUUUCUAGUAAACGUUUGAAUGUAUAAUAAGUUGUUAUACAUUCAAAGCAAUGUAUAGUGAAACUGUGCCAUUCCAGUAAAUUUACGAAUGCAUAAUAUUUGAUUAUACAUUCGUAUCAAUGUAUGAUAUAGCAUCAUACAUUAUAAAUGUGCAUGGUAUUAACAAUUUCUCUAAUUUUUUUACAAGUGAUAAAUGUUUUACAACAUGUAUGAUGUUAUGUAAUACAUACUUUUAAAACGUAUUAGUCUUUAGUUCAAUGUAAGAUUCACUUAUAAGCAAAGGUACAUAACAGGAAACAUACUAUGUGUUCAAAAUACAAUGUCACAUUAAUUAGUAACAUGUUGUUUUAAUCAUUAACAAAAUAAGUGAAAGGGAAAUUCAAUAAGUACCAUGAAUCAGUUAGUAAUAUUGCAGUAGUGUCUCAGUGACUAGAAAACAUAUUCUCAUAAGAUGAAGACAUCCAUAUAUGUAAAUUAACAUCCAGAAAGUAAUCUUUGAAUUCAUUUAACAUCAACUACAAAACUAAGAUUUAGUUAAUUCAAUUCCGUCUGUUAUUAAACAAUGCUACUCUAAAGUAACAAUUGCACUUUCAUCAAUUUCUUGGAGCACACUAUUCCUUGGCCGAGGAGGAUCACCAUUAUCACUCGUGUACCCUUUAUUUUCCUUUUCUACUUCGUAAUACCACAGUAAUGAAGCAUAGCGUGCACGUUCAAUGCACUUGCUACCUUUCACUUAAUAUUUCUACAUAAGCAGCCACAAAGACGCCACAGUCCCUGAUUUAAAGAAAAUAAAAAUGAAGUAACAGGAAGUACAUUAAUUUAAACAUAGUCAUACAUUAUAAAAAAAUUGUAAUUUACUUACAAACUUUCAGAUGCUUUCUGGGGUAUGUUUUGAACAUAUUCAACAUCAAAUGCAUUUUGAUUGACAUGUAUGAUGGUAGCUUAUACAUUUAAAAAAUGUAAUAUCGGAUAUACUUAUACAUCUCAAAUGUAAUAUCGGAUAUACUUAAACUACAGACAGACAUGUAUGAUGGUAGCUUAUACAUUUAAAAAAAAAAUCUUCUUUAAUGUAUAAUGUCAACUUAUACAAUAAUAAAACUUCAUAACUGUUUUAAUUUUUAUAACUGGCAAUGUAUAACCUAUAUAAAUACAAUUCAGAAUACACACAUUAUACAUUAAUUAGACAAAAAACUAAUGUAUAAUGUAUUAUUAUACAUUAAUAAUUGAAGGUAUGAACAUAAUCAGUACUUUAGGAAGACGUAGUCGAUCGGAAUCAUCAAACUUCUUUUUACUUGUCGCUUUUGAACCAACCUUCUCCGUUCUAGAAGCGCAACUUCCUUUAACUUCUUCAUUGUAAUGGAGUCGUUUCGGUGCUUCGACCGAUUCUCUGCGAAAUUCGGAUCCUUAUAAUCAAAUUUACCAGGAACAAAUCCGACGGGAAUAUCUUUUUCUUUUGAAUCAAACUGAGAAAUUCCUAAACUAAAACUUGGAGGAUAAUCCAUUAGCAAUUGACACUAUAUUGACUUAACAGUAUUGUUAAAUUGAACUACAAAACAAUAAAAUCAAUUAAAGAUCCAACUUAUACUAUAUGAAAAAGAACGAAAAAAACAAAAUGAACUUGAAUAUGAUUGAACAAUACAAAAAUUUCAAUAUGCAACAAAACAAGAAACGGAAAACCCCUGAAUUUGGUAAAGUUAAAAAAAAAAAUUCAAAAAUUUAAUGAAGUAAAUCAAAAUAAUCAAUGAAAAGCUUGUACAAUUAGAAAAUUAUUAACCUCUAAGUGGACGUUACUUGUAUAAUGUCGUGAUUUGUGGUUUCAAAAAUGGAGCAAAUAACGGGAGGAUAAUGGAUAAACUAUGGAGCAAAAGUCGAAAGAUGUAGGCGUGUUUUGUGAUGUAUAAUAUUUAAGAGAGAGAGAGAAAAUAAAAAAGGAAAAUUUGUGUAAUUAUUUUGAGGUUUGUGUAAAUACUUCGUCAAAUUGAUAUUUAGUGUAAUAUGAUAACUUUAAGUUAUGUAUAUAUGUAAAUUUUAGUAAAAACAACAUCCCCGUUGAAACAUUUGGCAUUAUAUGGCCCAAACAAUUUAAAUGCCACAUUAUAGUCAUCCUUUAAUGUUACUCUUUUUUAUCGACGACUUUACUCGUUUUUUUUGUUUCACAAACACUUUUUGUUGUUUUCUUUUUUGUUCAGCCUUUAUUGACUUUUUUUGGUUUUGCUAAUUUUUUAUUUCUUUUUACUUUUUCCGUUGCACUCUUUUAAUUUUUAUUUUUUUGAUUAUAUUAAAUAUACAAAAAAAUAGAGUAAAAGUUUUGUUUCCAUCUUGAACUAUACACGAAAUUAUUGAGAUAUACCCGAACUUUAGGAAGGUCCUAUUACCCCCUGGUCUAAUUAAAACCGCAUUUUUGUCAACCUUAGUGCAUACGUUGCACAUACGUGGCACAGUGGCGGAGCUAGAAAUAUUAGGAAGAGUGUUCAAUAAAAUAGGAGCUCAUUAAAAAAUGCUACAAAAAUAAAAAUAUUUAGCAGCCACUGGGAUUCAAACCCAUACCCGGAGUGCCCUUGGCCUUUGCUGAUCACCUUCUACUACUGUGUUAUUUCCUUUAGAUUUGUCAAGGGUGUUCAACACAUGACAUUUAACCAAAUAGAGCAACAUUUUACAUAUAUACACAAUGUAAUUUUCCGACGAAGGGUGUUCGCCUAAACACCCUCGAUAGGCUGUAACUCCGCCCCUGACGUGGCACAUCAGUGAAUCAACGCACUGAAGGUCUACGUAGGAACUAAGGUUGCCAAAAAUACGAUUUUAAUUAGUCCAAGGAGUAAUGGACCCUUCUAAAGUUUGGGUGUGUCUAAGCAAUUUGGUGUAUAGUUUAGUGCGGGAGCAGAACAUUUUCUCAAAAAAAUUUAUUACUUUUUUUUGUUGCUUUCCUUUUAAAACUUUUUUUAAAAAAAUUAAUCAAAUAAAAAAAGUUUAUUUUCUUAAAAAUAUAAUUAAAAAAGGGAUACGUAUUGAUACAAUAUAAUAAAUAUUGAUACAUAUAGACAAUACGUAUCUAAUCUAAUACAACACAAUACAAUACAAUAAAAAUACAUAUCCGAGUAGUCUAAAUUAUUGAUACAUAUAUACAAUAUAAUCAUAUCUUAUACAUAUUGAUACAGUCCUUAUACCAUGAUACGAGCCAAACGGCCAUCAUAGUUUUUGAUGACAUUCUUGGUGGCCAACACUUAAAGACUCAAGAUUUGGUUACCUCGAGGACACAAAAGCAUGCAUCGAGGACCCAUUUUGGACAUUCAAGAGAGCAAUUUCGUGUGUGGAGGGUUGUUUGGAGGCUUGCCUUGAUGACUAUCCGAGAGAACAAGUGAAGAAGUGUUUUGAAGAGCUUUAAACACUCCAAAACUGUCAGGACUCGAGCCGGGGCCCUAACCGUGAUGAGCAUCCCGAACCAUGGAGGCCCGGGCGCCCUUCUAUUUUUGGUAAUCAUGCACAAUACUCAAUAAUAAAGAAAAGAAUGCGUACAUGAAAUAAAUGGAAUCAUGGUCAUACUCUGAAUUCAAUUUAACAAUACUGGAAAGAAAUUCAUGAACAUCUAAACAACGUCUAUUUCAGUCACCGAAAUCUCUAAUACAUAUGAAAACCAAUAAAACUAUCUGAAAUCUGGGACAAGGCCUCCAGUAGACCAAUACCAUAAUGAAAUAACAAUACUCUAAGAAUGGUCUUCCGAAGUAAGGAAGGCUCACCAACUACACACUUCUGACUGUUAACUCUAUGAUUUAUCAAGACCUAUAGACCGAGCCUCAGACCCUGAAAGAUAGGGGGUCAAUACAAUUGUAUUGGUAUGUAGAGAAAUCCAAAAUAAUGCAUUUAUAUAUAAAAUAGAUGAGAGUAAUUCAUGAAAACAUCAUGUCUGAUAUAGUUUAAAAUACAUGGGCAAUUCUUUGAUGUUCAUAAAACAUUCUUAUCAAUGCAGUUCUGAUUUUUGUAUUACUUCUGAGUUAGGUGGUCCACUCUACAAUUCUACAAUCCUAUGGGCUAUAUGGAGUCCGCCCUUAACUCGGCGGCCAAGCCUCCAACCCAAGUUUACCUCAAGAGUUGGAGUUUUUGAUUCUGAUACGCCACAGGGCACUAGACUAGCAUAUAAUCCCUCUAGGGGACAUAAUAAUACCAUAUCGGCAAAACACAAUUUUGGGCAAUGAGUUUUUUGGAAUAGUGCCUUCUUCGGGUAACCACCUAACAUCUCUUUAUGUCCAUUUUUAUCCUUUUCUGAACAUGUGUCAUCUAAGUUCAAAAUCUAAAAAUCUGAAAGAAAAUCCACAUUCUAUUCUGUUCUGUGCUCACCAACUGCAAAGACUUGCAAGUCAUGUUUCUAAGCCAUAAAAAUCAUAUCACAGUUUUUUCUUUCAAAACAUAAAGUUUAGACCACCAUAUUUCAACAAUUCAAGAAGAUUCAUUCUUCAAUACACUUAUCAAACUAUGUAAAAUCAUUCCUUUCGAUCAUUUUAGCAAACAUGUGGUGGUAAUGCAUUUUUGGCAAACCAUGUAAUCUUUCAUUAUAUAUUCAACAUUUAUCAACAUGCAAAACCCCUCUCAUCAAUUUAAAGAUCAAGCUUACAUUAUUCGACAAUAGUCAUGAACAUAUAAAAUCAUGCUUCUAAAUAACAUUCUAAAAAUCAAGAGGUAUCACGACAUGAGAGGGAGCGUAAAUAGAUAUGCUCUCAAUUAAAUUAUAAACUUUAAUAACAUACAUAUAUAUAUAAGAUUUCAAAUCAAUUUGGGGAAAAAGGCCUAAAGACCAAACAAUAAUGUCACUAAAGAAUUCAUAACGCAAAUUUCAAUGUUAAUUCCAAAACCCCUUUAAGAUUUUAAAAUCUCACAAUGCUAAAAGAUGUUGAAACAUUUUCUUAUUCCCAAGUAGUUUUAGGAAAACCCCACGUACCUUAGUUGCAAAGAAUUCGCGAAGAGAUUUCAAAAAGAUUGGACCUUUAGGCUUGAUUGUCCAAAUUCUAGUUGUUUUCUCCCCUUGUGUUCUUAAAAGGUGAAUUUUAGGGAUUUUUGAGGAUUUAAAACGUUACUAAUGACCUUAAUUUAAUUAAAAAUGAUUAGGGACGGUUUUGGAGUGUAAAAAGACUUGGUUGCCCUUAAAAUGACUUUAAAACGACAUUUUUACGUCCUUGGGCCAUAGGGCAUGCGAUGCAUUGCCUAUGGCCUAAUCUAGGCAAUGCCACACAUUGUUUAUUGCUCAAAAUAGGUUGGGCAUCGCAUUUUCCAUCGCCCAAAAUAGGUUGGGCAACGCAUUUCCCAUGACACAAUAAUUCUAGCAACCUCAGGCGAUUUGCUAGAAGACACAUUUAACUUUGUAAAGUUAUAACUUUUUGCUCGGGUAUUGGAUUUAGGCAAAGUUGGUAUCGUUGAAAAUAUAUUUUGAAGACCUUUCAUUUUAUAUAGAGUAGAUACUCUAAUUCAUUAUAUACAAGAAUUUAUGGUCGAUGGAAGUUGACCCAAGUUGAAACGUCCACUAAAACUUAAUUGCUAGAAAUGUUUUCAACUUGUCUUAGACUUAGGGGAUUUUUGUGACCUUAAUUCAUAUUCAAUGGUAUUUCAAAACUAUAGGAUUGAUCACCACACAUAUAUUCACAAGGAAUCCUCUAGUUUGGGUCUAUACGCUUAGGAACGACAGUCUAAAUUCUAGCCAGAGAGUACGGGGUGUUAAAAAAACACUUUAAGGUAGUCCCUAAUUUACACACCAAGGCCGCCCUUCAUUAAGAGAAUUUUUGAGAUUGAACAUGGUGUUUUAACACACCAUGGCCUCCCCUCUCAUUAAUGGUAGUUGGGUCUUUUUGUCUUCUAUUGUAAUAUACUAUAAGUAGAACAUUUUAGAAUUUUUUUCAUUAGUUAUUGAAUGAUAAUAUUUUGAGGCAUUGAAAUUUCUCUCUCUUUGAGAGUGUAAUUCACAGUUUAGGGCUCGGAAAAUCCAUAUUUAGUGUAGGGCUUGGAAAAUUCAUUAUUGAACAUUGCUUAAAACGGUGGUUCUUGAGGUGAGUUGAUUCCCUUAGCGGUCACCAUAAGAAGACUGGUGUUUGUACUUGCGGGUUUAAGGAUCUUUGUGUUUGAAACACAUUUUGGUUCUUGUUCUUCGUAAAUUCUUAUGUCAGCUUGCCUAUCCUUUUAUUUUAUUACAUUUGUGUGUUUGUAUCUUAUCAUCUUAUUCUCGGUUUGUGCUUUGUUAUUCUUGGUUUUGUAUGUUGUAGCCGAAGUAGGUUCCUUGUUGUUCUCGGCUUUUGGCUUGUAUUGUGAUACAAGUACGACCAUGAAGAUGGACGCAUGUGAGAAUGUAAUGAACCCGAGGCUUGGAGUGUGCUAGUGAAGGACUUAUAACACUCCAAACCGACCCUAAUCUCAUACUCGGAGUGUAAAGAGGAGCCUUGGAACACAAGAAGGCAUCCCCUAAAUACACUUGAAGGGACCCUAGCUCUUAAAAGGUCAUUUUGGAUAUUUUAUAUUUUAUUUGUAACCUAGUAUAAAUAGAACAUUGUAGGGCUUUUAGACUUAUAUUAUUCAUGAUGUUGUAAGUCUUGAAACACAAGUCCUCUCUCCCUGAGGCACCAAAACUAAAAUUAGGCAUAUAGAGUGUGGAAUCACUUUUGUUGAUCUCAUAGCUUGGAGACGUGAUGCUUGGGAGGUGGAUUCUGACCUUGUGUCUUCGUAAGAGAUAGAUGAACGUUAUGUGUAGUUCUAAGGGUCCAAGAGUAGAAUAUGCUCUUGGGUUCUUAAGAUUAUACCUUCAUUAAGUCUAUCUAACUACCCCUUUACUUUUAUUGUAAUCUUGUAGUAGUUUGUGUUCUUAUAACCGUUUCUAUUUCUUGUUAGUAAAACUGUGUGUUGUUUCUAUCUUGUUAUUUUUGUUCAUCUCGCCAUAUUAUUUCUGUUUUGGUGUAUUUACACCUUUAAUAUCUUGUUGUUAUUGUGUUUUCGUUGUUGUUGUAGUGAAUUCGAAAGUGGUCACCAAAGGGGUCCUCGAUUCUUCAAACUUGUGGACUGUUUUGGUGUUUGUUUAGUGUUCCCGUGGUCAUUCUCGUAUCAUUUAGGAGGAAUGUUGUCACACCAUAGUGGGUUAGCAUAUAGGUUAUAGCUUCCAAGGCAAGCUAUACCAUCAUUUUCACCACUUGGUCUAUUAGGAGUGUUUAAACUAUCUUUAAACAAGACAUUGUACCUAAAGAGUGAAUGAUCUAACCCGCGGACUGAUUUGGAACUUUCACUCUCUAAGGAAUCAUUAUGAAGUUUCAAAGAUAUAUGAAGCACACCAUUAACCCUAUGAGCCAAGAAAACAUUAGAAUCUUUACAACAAUAUAGGCUCAUGGGUUCACUCCUUUUUUCUUGGACAACAUUUUCAAAUUCUUCACUCAUUUGAGACUCAUUAAUCACAUAUACAUAUUCUCAAGUGGUGGUCAAGUUUUACACACAAGUUGGUCAACAGAAAUUUCACUCAACGGUGUACUUUCAUUCAACACAAUAGCUUCAACACUAGGUGGACAUAAAUCGAUCUUACUAGAAGAGUAGAUUCGGUCAUCUAUAGGAUCAGCUAGUGUAUCCACUCGCACAACAUGUACAUCAUCUACAAGUGGUAAGGAAUCAAUAUACUCAUACGUAGGUAAGAUACUACUUACACUCAACGGCUUAUUAGUCACACAUUCAUCAUCCAUAUGUACCGAAGUGUAAGAGAUAGCUAUUUUACCUUGACGUCCAUGAGUACGUUCGUCUUUACCUUGGUGUGAAAGUCCUUCACAAGUUUGGGAAACAACUUCCUUCGGGAAGCUCUCACCACAAGGUGUUUGGACCUUAGGUUUUGGAUUUGUUAGGAUAAGUGUGGAUACCAAUUGGCAUAGCCUUUCAACGUGUCAUUUUAUGUCCUCAAUAUUGUCGGUGAUGGGGUCAAACAUGGCAUAGAGAUUGGUGGCAGCCAUGGUACCUAAGAUAAUACAACAAUGAAAAACAAAACAAACAAACUUGUUAGCUCAAAAUGCCUCACCACACUCUCACUCUCAAUUUUUACCUCGCACUUGGUUUCACAAGUGUUGAAAGCCGGUUUGUACUUCGUGAGUGAUUGAGGGAGGAGUCCACCUUGGUCCGGAAUAGAUUUUCAUUCGAGUUUAACCAAAGAAAAUUUUGUCACGUACUUGAACCAAUAAGAUACAACGAAUUCACAAAAGAGAAAAAAGCACAAAAGAAACGUAGACACGAACAACGGAUUCAAGAACUAAAUGACAACCUAGUAGAAGUUUACUAGCUUGUUAAUUAGUGCUAGGAUCAAUUAAACGUAACUAAGAGACAACAAAAUGAAACUAAGAAAUAUAAAAUUUUGAGCUCAAAAAUAUUGUGUGAACAGUAGCAGUGAUGAUGUGGUAGCCACGUAUUGGUUCGGUUUUAUCAAAUGGUUAUUCUCAAAUGUUCAAGUCUUGGUCAAAAAUUAAUUUUGAUUGGUAAAAUUUGUUUUAGGAGAGAAAAUAAGUCUUGGAGCCUUUUUCAAUUUUCAAGACUUGACCUUUUCUUGUACUUCUCCUUAAAACAUGGGUCCUUAAAUCAAGAAAAAGUGGUUGAGAAGUAAUAUAAAGUCUUUUGGUGGUUGGGGGUCUUUCAAAACUAACAAGUACAUACACGUUUUUCCUUCACCUUUUAGGAUCUAUCAUUCACUUUAUGUUCUAAAAAUAUACGAAGGAAGGUGAAGAACUUCAAUAACAAUAAUAGACACACCAAGAACAAUAACAAAAAUCUUCAAGAACAACAACAAUUCCAACGGCCAACUCCAAUCCACAAUAACAAACGGCCAAGUCUCUUUAGUGUUGUGUCUUUGGUUUUAACAAGAGAUGAAGGUUGUGAAGAAAUUAAAGAACAACAAAAUCAUUCACCAAGUACAACAACAACAACACUCCUUUCAACAAUAAUAAUUUCACACACAGCCAAGUCAAGUUUCUCAACAACAAUGUCUACCACACGAUCUUACUUGUUCACGACAACAACAACAAAUCUCAAACUUAGAUAUGGACUCAAGUUUUAGUGAAUAACAAAGAUAACACUAGAAACACUCAAUACAAACAAAAAUCUCGGCCAAGACAAAACAAGAACGCAAUUCUCAGCCAAGAACACAACAUGGACAGAUUGCACUUUUUCUGGAAUUUUCAGUUUUUCAACAAUUUUUUUCCAACUAACAAGCCCAAGAUUGAUCUUGUGGGAACAAGAUCAAGACAUUCUAUAAUACCAAAUUAUACGAGAAUGAUCACAGGAACACUAAAAAAAUACCAAAACAGUCCACAAGUUUGAAGAACUGAGGACCCCUUUGGUGACCACUCUCGGAUUCACUACAACAACAACGAAAACACAAUAACAACAAGAUAUUGAAGGUGUAAAUACACCAAAAUAGAUACAAUAUGGUGAUAUAGACAACAAUAACAAUAUAAGAAUAACACACGGUUUUACUAAUAAGAGAUAGAAAUGGUUACAAGAACACAAACUACUACAAGAUUACAUAAUAAAAGUAAAGGGAUAGUUAGAUAGACUUAAUGAAGGUAUAAUCUUAAGAAUCAAAGAGAAUAUUCCACUCUUGGAUCCUUAACACUACACACAACGUUCACCUCUCUCUUACAAGGACACAAGGUCAGAAUCCACCUCCAAAGCAUCACGUUUCCAAGCCAUGAGAUCAACAAGAGUGAUUCCACACUCUAUAUGCCUAAUUUCGGUUUUGGUGCCUCAAGGAGAGAGGACUUGUGUUUCUUUGUGUUUCAAGAUUUACAACAUCAUGAAUAAUCUAAGUCUAAAAGCCCUACAAUGUUCUAUUUAUACUAGGAUACAAAUAAAAUAUAAAAUGUCCAAAAUGCCCUUUUAAGAGUUAGGCUCCCUUCAAGUGUAUUUAGGGGCUGCCUUCUUGAGUUACAAGGCUCCUCUUUACACUUAAAGUGUGAGAUUAGGGUCAUUUUAGAGUGUUUUAAGUCCUUCACUCGCACACUCCAAGCCCCAGGUUCAUUACAUUCUCACAUGUAUCCAUCUUUGUGGUCGUACUUAUAUCAUGUUGUGUACUAUUUUAGCUCUUUGUAGAUCAUUUUUUAUUAUUUGGUAUCAGAUAUUAUGGUUGAUUUUGUAGUAACAAAAUCAAUCUUGGGCUUGUUAGUUGAAAUAAAAAAUAUUGCAAAACCGAAAAAUCAAAAAAAAAAAUAGUAAUUUGUCCCAUUUUUGAUGUUGUGGUUGAAAAAUUAAAGCUUAUAAAUGUGUUGUUGAUGUAUGGGAUCCAACUUUAACCAUAGAACUACAAGAUUCAAAAAGUUGUGUUCUUGGUGUUCUUCACCAUCUUUAUCUUUUGUUGAAGAGAAAGUGAUUAUUAUUUCUAAAAUGGUGAAGAAAGAGAGUGUGUAUUGUAGUUGGUCUUGAAAAACUUUCCAAUCUUUUUCCAAGUUUUAAGGUCUCUCAAAGACUUUUACAACCACUUUCCAACCACUUUACAUGUUUUAAGGAAGACCACUUUUCCAUGUCUUAA